GCAAGCAGACCAAUGCCGAUAGGUGGAAGGGUCUCGCUUACGACAUCUCCGACGACCAGCAGGACAUCACGAGUGGGAAAGGUAUCGUAGACUCCCUGUUCCAGGCCCCCAUGGGCGACGGCACCCACGAGGCCAUCCUGAGCUCCUACGAGUACAUCAGCCAGGGCCUGCGGAAGUACGACUUCGACAACACCAUGGACGGCCUCUACAUCGCCCCGGCAUUCAUGGACAAGCUCAUCGUCCACCUCGCCAAGAACUUCAUGACACUCCCCAACAUCAAGGUUCCUCUCAUCCUGGGCAUCUGGGGAGGCAAGGGACAGGGCAAGUCGUUCCAGUGCGAGCUGGUGUUCGCCAAGAUGGGCAUCAACCCCAUCAUGAUGAGCGCCGGUGAGCUGGAGAGCGGCAACGCCGGCGAGCCGGCGAAGCUGAUCCGGCAGAGGUACCGCGAGGCUGCCGACAUUAUCAACAAGGGCAAGAUGUGCUGCCUCUUCAUCAACGACCUGGACGCCGGCGCGGGGCGGAUGGGCGGGACGACGCAGUACACGGUGAACAACCAGAUGGUGAACGCCACCCUGAUGAACAUCGCGGACGCGCCCACCAACGUGCAGCUCCCCGGGAUGUACAACAAGGAGGAGAACCCCCGCGUGCCCAUCAUCGUCACGGGCAACGACUUCUCAACGCUGUACGCGCCCCUGAUCCGCGAUGGCCGCAUGGAGAAGUUCUACUGGGCGCCCACCCGCGAGGACCGCAUCGGCGUGUGCAAGGGCAUCUUCCGCACCGACAACGUCCCCGACGAGGCCGUGGUGAGGCUGGUGGACACCUUCCCGGGGCAGUCCAUCGACUUCUUCGGCGCGCUGCGGGCGCGGGUGUACGACGACGAGGUGCGCAAGUGGGUCGGCGAGAUCGGCGUGGAGAACAUCUCCAAGCGGCUCGUCAACUCCAGGGAGGGGCCGCCGACGUUCGACCAGCCCAAGAUGACCAUCGAGAAGCUCAUGGAGUACGGCCACAUGCUGGUCCAGGAGCAGGAGAACGUGAAGCGCGUGCAGCUCGCCGACAAGUACCUCAGCGAGGCGGCGCUCGGCCAAGCCAACGACGACGCCAUGAAGACCGGCGCCUUCUACGGCAAGUAGAAUGAAGGCCAGCCCGUCCUAAUUAAGAUGCAUGCAUGCAUGCAUGCACUAUAUAUAUGUUGGAAUAUUUUGGACUCAAACUUUUUGAUUCAUCGCCGCACAGGUAACCCAAUUGUAAGUCUCUUGUUGAAAGAGAAUCGAAUUGUAUAUGUUAUUGCCUAUUUAUACCUGAAUCAUCCUUUUCCACUUAAUCAUUUCUCCAAUGGAUGCAAGCUAGGUCCCAACAACCUAUCUCUUGAUAUUAGCACUUGUCGGAAGAUUAGCAGAUAUCUGGAAAUCGUCUGAAAAAUUCUUGAUUAGGUACUGUGGAUGUGGGGGUCAUGACUAGUGACAUGUUUAGUUUCCUCUUGACGGUGGAAACUGAUUAACAAGGACAGCAUCACUAGAGGGCGUAUUAAUUGGACAAAUAAGACUGUGCAAGGCAAACACGGCUAGCAUUCAUCAAAAGGAUCAAUGGUCUGUAGUAGACCAAGACAAUGUGAAUUCCAGGAAACUGGAGCUAAGCAGCACCAAUAACAUUUACAUGGAAGCAUUACAGACGUGACAUAUACACACCCUCAAAUAAAAAAAACUGCAUGACUUGCUUUUCUCUUAAUACAUUUUUUUUUACCGAAGUGGCAAUAUUAUUGGAGUACACAAAAGCACAAACCCAUGUGCUUGAUGUCAACCAGGACUUGAUUUGUGUGGUGCCAAAUGACAUCCCUAGCUUGAUGGUUAUCACCAAACCAAUAUAUGUAUGGCAGCAACAAAUUUGUGGUACUUGAACUAGAAUACAAUCUUGGGUGCCUCAUCCAACAAGCAACGAGAGAGCCUUUUUUGUGGUUAUGCAGCGACAUGGCUUGGCUAAUAAACAAGAUAGUAUAUACGGGCGAUCCGGUGAAAGGAAAAAUGGAAGGCACGGAAGAAAAGAGAGAUGAUUUGGGCAUGAAUGGUUAGAUUCUGUGGCCGUGGAAGGCCAUGGAAUUGAUGGCCAGCAGACGUACCUGCAGCUGCAGCGUUUGGUCUUGACGGUCCAAGUCAUCCAACCGGCCGGCCAAGACGCUCAGAACCCAAUCUCCAGCGUGUGGCCUGUGGGGGAUCGGGAAGCUGAUCCACAAGCAGGGGUGUGUGUAUGCCGCCUCCUCCUCCAAGCUCCCCACCGCAGCACUAUGCCAAUCCAUGUGUAUUUAAGGCAUCUCAUAGCUGGGCCUCUAUACUUUGAGCAGCAGCAGUCAUUCAUCACCGAUCACCAGCACAGCCGCGCAUCCACCGUUGCUAGCAAGGUCGACCAAGCAGCACCGAGAUGGCUGCUGCCUUCUCCUCCACCGUCGGUGCCCCGGUGCGUAUGACACACUGAUCGAUCGAUCGAUUGAUUGAUUGAGUCUCUUGCUUAAUGAUGAUAUCACAUCAAUGUCUUCAGCGGCAUCUCAUGUGUGUAUGUGUAACGUAUACAGGCUUCUACGCCGACCAACUUCCUUGGGAAGAAGCUCAAGAAGCAGGUGACCUCGGCCGUGAACUACCAUGGCAAGAGCUCCAAGGCCAACAGGUUCACAGUCAUGGCAGCGGAAAACCUCGACGAGAAGAGGAACACGGACAAGUGGAAGGGUCUUGCGUACGAUAUCUCCGACGACCAGCAGGACAUCACCAGAGGGAAGGGCAUCGUGGACUCGCUCUUCCAGGCGCCCACGGGCGACGGCACCCACGAGGCCGUCCUCAGCUCCUACGAGUACGUCAGCCAGGGACUCAAGAAGUACGACUUCGACAACACCAUGGGAGGCUUCUACAUCGCUCCUGCUUUCAUGGACAAGCUUGUUGUCCAUCUCUCCAAGAACUUCAUGACCCUGCCCAACAUCAAGGUACGUACGACGUGCAUCAUCACCUACUAUUUAAUUUAACUGGCUAGAUUAGCAGCAAGAAAAUCAUUCUGAUUCUGAAACUGACCUGGAAUCGAAAUUCAGAUCCCACUCAUCUUGGGUAUCUGGGGAGGCAAGGGUCAAGGAAAAUCAUUCCAGUGCGAGCUUGUCUUCGCCAAGAUGGGCAUCAAGUAGGAAUUUACAUUCAUCUAUUAUACAUACUGUCACACAGUUAUAGAUGCCUGAAGCCAAAGUGCUAAUAAUAGAUAAUGACGUGUGCUUUUCACCACAGCCCAAUCAUGAUGAGUGCCGGAGAGCUGGAGAGUGGCAACGCCGGAGAGCCAGCCAAGCUCAUCAGGCAGCGGUACCGUGAGGCUGCAGACAUGAUCAAGAAGGGUAAGAUGUGCUGCCUCUUCAUCAACGAUCUUGACGCUGGUGCGGGUCGGAUGGGCGGGACCACACAGUACACCGUCAACAACCAGAUGGUGAACGCCACCCUCAUGAACAUCGCCGAUGCCCCCACCAACGUGCAGCUCCCAGGCAUGUACAACAAGGAGGAGAACCCUCGUGUGCCCAUCGUCGUCACUGGUAACGAUUUCUCGACGUUGUACGCCCCUCUGAUCCGUGAUGGCCGUAUGGAGAAGUUCUACUGGGCUCCCACCCGCGACGACCGUAUCGGUGUCUGCAAGGGUAUCUUCCAGACCGACAAUGUCAGCGACGAGUCCGUCGUCAAGAUCGUCGACACCUUCCCAGGACAAUCCAUCGGUAUGUUCCUCACAACUGCACUGCAGAGAUAAUAUUCAUCAGGGCAAUCAAGUUGUAUAGUAGUAUUAACAAAGGAUCGUCGAUCCUACACAGACUUUUUCGGUGCUCUGCGUGCUCGGGUGUACGACGACGAGGUGCGCAAGUGGGUGACCUCUACCGGUAUCGAGAACAUUGGCAAGAGGCUGGUGAACUCGCGGGACGGACCCGUGACCUUUGAGCAGCCAAAGAUGACAGUGGAGAAGCUGCUAGAGUACGGGCACAUGCUUGUCCAGGAGCAGGACAAUGUCAAGCGUGUGCAGCUUGCUGACACCUACAUGAGCCAGGCAGCUCUGGGUGAUGCUAACCAGGAUGCGAUGAAGACUGGUUCCUUCUACGGUUAGAACAUUCUCCAUACACACCCACCAUCUCUUGCUGCAUAGGAGGAGGUGAACUACGCACAAUCCUUUUAUACUUUCAGCACCUACUUUACAUACAUACUUACUUCUCACUUGCUUACUUCUCUGAAACAAAAGAGUGAAUCAUAAACAAACAGUGGAGGCCUAUUUCUUCUUACCUGUUCUUAUAGCAUAGCAAGCUCAUCUUCUCAUCAGAUCGUCCAAAACAAUUGAAUUGCAGGUAAAGGGGCACAGCAAGGUACUUUGCCUGUACCGGCAGGAUGCACCGACCAGACUGCCAAGAACUUCGACCCAACGGCGAGGAGUGACGACGGGAGCUGCCUUUACACCUUUUAAGCAUGCCAAUUUAAUAUCUGAUGUUUUAUCCUUUGUACCUAAGUACCGCAUCGCAUCCAAGCGAUUGCUGGGCAUGUUUUGUUAAUAUAAAAAGAUAUUGAGUAUACCUAUUUGGUAAAGACAAAUAGAACUACUUAUCAUUUGUCACUCUCUGUAUUCAUUCCUUCAGUGGAGACUGCUUCUGCUUUAUUGCAAACAGAACAAAAAAGUACUAAUUUGCGCUUCAGCUUAUUAAUUAUUGUUGCACAAACGCAUGGANNNNNNNNNNNNNNNNNNNNNNNNNNNNNNNNNNNNNNNNNNNNNNNNNNNNNNNNNNNNNNNNNNNNNNNNNNNNNNNNNNNNNNNNNNNNNNNNNNNNNNNNNNNNNNNNNNNNNNNNNNNNNNNNNNNNNNNNNNNNNNNNNNNNNNNNNNNNNNNNNNNNNNNNNNNNNNNNNNNNNNNNNNNNNNNNNNNNNNNNNNNNNNNNNNNNNNNNNNNNNNNNNNNNNNNNNNNNNNNNNNNNNNNNNNNNNNNNNNNNNNNNNNNNNNNNNNNNNNNNNNNNNNNNNNNNNNNNNNNNNNNNNNNNNNNNNNNNNNNNNNNNNNNNNCACUUGUUUCACACGAUUGCUCUGAAAGCUACAUCCUUAAUAAGCAGCUGGAUCUGCUGCGGUUCCCAAAGAGCAAGAAAAAAGUAUGUCAUCAACAUUGUCACUAAUCGAUUAGUAGUGAUAGAUUUAAAGCAAUUAGAAAAAAAAUGUCGCUCAUGUUAAUAUACGUACACCUCUGUACAAGAAAAUGAAAAAUGUAAUUUUCAAUGGUAUGCUCUCUACCAUUCAAAUAACACCCAGCCAGUUAGUAAAAAAAUGUAUUGGAAGAUAAAUAGCAUGGAGAUGGCCGCAGAGACUUGGACAUGCUCGUGAUCAGAAAAUCUGUCCAGGAAAUAAGAAAUAGGUAUGUCAGCUGAACUUGAAACAGCUGAGUAUCUACAGGCGUUAACUAUAAAACUCAUCGUAUUGAACAACUCCACUUCAAUCACCAUGCAUAAAAAAUCCUCGAGGAUCACUGCCGUCCAAAUUUGCAUGCACAGCUCCACAGUCUACAAGACCGGCUGGAACCAUUAAUUAUGUUUAGAGUAACAUUAGAUGGUGUGAAAUUUCUAGCGUUUGUAUCAAUUUGAAGAGCAUAGCUAGGUGUUGCUAUGUCUGAUGCCUGUUCAAAACGAUGGCAUGUCUCGUUGAUCUGUGACUACGUCCUAGAACAUUGUUGAUCAUCAUCUUCUACUUGUGUUUCUGUUGCAUAUAACAACAUUGUUGCUUGGUUAAGGGUGAUUCAAGUCAAGUAUUAAGCAAGUGGUAUUAAGUGCAGAAUCAAAGUUGGUGCCCAAAAAGUUCUAGGAUGCAGGAGCGAACUAGCACACAUUUUUGGUGCUUAACUGUUGGAGUGGUCGUACAAACCAAUUUCAGUAAUAGCUGCGACACGCUUGAUUUUCUGAAUGAGUAAGCUUUUUUUUUUCCGUUAUCCUGCUGACCCAACCAAUUCCGGAUCGAUGAAAGAGAAGAGAUAAGGAAAGAAAGGAAAUCCACGGGGAACCAGAUUUUGCAGUAGUGUACCCUUGGUCGUAUGCGACUACGUCCAGUCCUUCCCAUAGAGGAACACAAGAAAGAUUGGUGUACCUGAAAAGGCGACCAGCAUGGCAGCGGCACUGCCUGUUACUUGUCAGGAAUUUUGGCGAACACCUAGCAAGCGUACCGGCUCCGUGGUGAGAUUCAACCAAAGAGAAAAUCGGAAGAACACAGAUCGAGAGCAUAUGUAGGAGUAUUAUAGAUACUGGAGGCAUGUGCUGGAGAUGGGCGUGUGCGUGGCACAGUGAACGUGAAGGAAUACGGCCGCGGCGCCGGCGGCCACGGCGAAGCCAGGACGGAGAGGGGAGAUAGACUCCCGUGCGCGAUUAGAACUGAAUUUGAUGAGGUGGACUGGCUUUUUUUUUCUUCUUGCGGGCCUCCUAGCCUUAAUCAAGUUUACAAGAAAGUCUGGCCCUCAUGCGACUGCGUGCGAGGGAUAUUACGGCCAUACGCGACCAGCACAUGACUAGUGUUAUUCUGCCAACGGCUACACUGCACGAAUACAAGCUCUCUAGCCCGAAGGACUGCUAAGCUGCUAAUCUCUUCAACGAGAGACCAGUGAUGUGAUCUAUCUGUCAUGGGCGCUUUGAGCAUCGCCACAGCCUCCACACUAUCCAUCUCAAUAAUGAUAGGCAUCGUAGUCCUGUGUAAAAGCAAGGUCUAUGUCUUCUCUACAAGCUGAGAGCUCCGCCUCUAGCGCACUCUCACAUGUGCGAAUUUCUCUGCAUGCGCUAUAGAUGAUAUUCCCUCUAUCAUCUCGAAGGAUCAUACCUCCACCCGCUGCUCCUAUGGCUGCAACAAAGUUGUCGUCCGUGUUAAGUUUAGCCCAGCCCGCGCUAGGGGGGACCCAGCUAGGGCUCGCCAUUGCAAUCCUGCUUGGUUGCACGCGCGGCGGGGCAUCACAAACCACCAUCUUCCCCUUCUCCAUAUUGGCCUCUAGAUGUUGCUAGAUGCAUAAUAGUGAAGUAAUGUAGCCAUGUAAGAACCGACGACAGGCCUCCGCGGGAGGUGGCAGUUUGUCAUGGGUAAUCUCACUGCGAGCAUGCCAUACUCUCCACAUGAUCAUGAGAAUCAUCAGCAUCGCCAUCUCAUCCAGGGGUUCCAACAGGGCGAAUAGCCACUCCGGCCCCCUGUCCCGGAUGGUCUCCACCUUGGGUAUGUUCCUAUCCAUCGCCAUGACCCUCCAGAGCUCCCUUGCCAGUGGGCACCUACAAAGCGCGUGGAAUCCGUCCUCGCGUUCAACACCACAUAGGGGCAAGACGUCAGUAACCUCGAGGUGGUGUGAAGCUUUGUUGGCCCAAGUAGCAAGUGAAUUUCUGACAACCCUCCAUGCAAACAUGCGUACCUUAGGGGGAACAGGGCACCCUCAUAUGAUCUUUCAGAUGGCGCGACGACCAUUCGGUGCCCUGCUUGUGGCGGUGGCCAUGGAUGCUCACGCUUGUCCAUUGCCAGGUGGUAUGCGGAUCGGAUGGUGAAGAUACCGCUCUUCUUCGGCGCCAUGAUAUCGUCGGUGACGCGUGGCGAGUGACACGUCUCCAUCGUAUCUACUUUUCCUAACACGUUUGAUCUUGUUUUGGACUCUAAUUUGCAUGAUUUGAAUGAAACUAACCCAGACUGAUGCUGUUUUCAGCAGAACUAUCAUGGUGUUGCUUUUGUGCAGAAAUAAAAGUUCUUAGAUUUGGACGAAACUUUUUGGGGAAUUAUUUUGGAAUAUAUAAUAAUUUAUGGAACCAAAACCCACUGGAGGGGGGGCCUGGCUACCCACAAGACACCGGGGCGCGCCACCCCUCCCUCCUCUGGCGCGCCCUGGUGGGUGGUGGGGCCCUCGGGGCUCCGCUGACCCUAAUCCCGACGCUAUAAAAUCCUAUUUUCGGAGAGAAAAAAUAGGAGAGGAAGUUUCAUCGCGUUUUACGAUACAGAGCCACCGCCACCUUCUGUUCUUCAUCGGGAGGCCAGAUCUGGAGCCCGUUCGGGGCUCCGGAGAGGGGGAUCUUCGGUCUUCGUCAUCACCAACCCUCCAUCAUCACCAAUUCCAUGAUGCUCCCCACCGGGAGUGAGUAAUUCCUUCGUAGGCUCGCUGGUCGAUGAGGAGUUGGAUGAGAUUCAUCAUGUAAUCGAGUUAGUCUUGUUAGGGCUUGAUCCCUAGUAUCCACUAAGUUUUGAGAUUGAUGUUGCUAUGACUUUGCUAUGCUUAAUGCUUGUCAUUAGGGCCCGAGUGCCAUGAUUUCAGAUUUGAACCGUUUAUCUUUCACCAUUAUACCUAUGUUAAAUAUCCGAUCUUGCAAGCCAUAUGCACCUAUUACAUGUUUUGAUACGUAAACCCAGUGUGACUGUAAUUGGCAUACUUUCCGGUGAUGACCGUAGUUUGAGGAGUUCAUGUAUUUACUAUGUGUUAAUGCUUUGUUCCAUUCUCUAUUAAAAGGAGACCUUAAUAUCACUUAGUUUCCUUAUGGACCCCGUGAUACGUCUCCAACGUAUAUAUAAUUUAUGAAGUAUUCAUGCCAUGUUUGCAAUAAUUUUAUAUGGUUUUGGUAUGAUUUGAUUAGAACUAACCCACACUGAUGUUUUUUCAGCAGAACUACCAUGGUGUCGUUUUUUAUGCAGAAAUAAAAAUUCUCGGAAUGGGCUGGAAAUUUACGGUGAUUUUUUAUGGAGGCUCAUCGGAGCCAGGCCAGGAAGUGGACGAGGAGUCCACAAGCCUAGGGGCGCCCCCUAGGGCAUGCCCCCUGGCUUGUGGGCCCCUCGAGCGUCCCCCUGACGUGAGACUGACGCCAAAAAUUCCUAUAAAUCAUAAACCCCCAGAAAGAAACCUAGAUCGUAAGUUCCGCCGCCACAAGCCUCUGCAGCCACGAAAAACCAAUCAGGAGCCCAUUUUGGCACCCUGCCGGAGGGGGAAAUCAUCAUCAGAGGCUAUCUUCAUCAUCCCGGUGGCCUCCAUGACGAGGAGGGAGUAGUUCACCCUCAGGGUUGAGGGUAUGUACCAGUAGCUAUGUGUUUGAUCUCUCUCUCUCUUUCUCUCAUGUUCUUGAUUUGACACGAUCUUGAUGUAUCGCGAGCUUUGUUACUAUAGUUGGAUCAUAUGGUGUUUCUCCUCCACUAUCUUCUUGUGAUGAAUUGAGUCUUGCUCUUUGAGGUUUCGUUGAUUCACUUGAUGUAUGUUUUGGCACUCAACUCGUGGAUUCCCGAGGUGACAUUGGGGUAAUCUGUGCAUAGGGGUUGAUGCACGUUUUCGUCCUACGUUCUCUGAUAGAAACUUUGGGGUGAUUCUUUGUUGCACAUUAAGGAAUUGUUAUAUGAUCCAAUUAUGUUAUCAUUCUUGAGAGAACUUGGACUAGUGAAAGUAUGAACCCUAGGCCUCGUUUCCGAGCAUUGCAAUACCGUUUUUGCUCACUUUUGUUACUAGUUUCCUUGCUAUUUUUAUAUUUUCAUAUUAUAAAAACCUAUAUCUACCAUCCAUAUUGCACUUGUAUCACCAUCUCUUCACCGAACUAGUGCACCUAUUCAACUUGCCAUUGUAUUGGGUGUGUUGGGGACACAAGAGACUCUUUGUUAUUUGGCUGCAGGGUUGUUUGAGAGAGACCAUCUUCAUCCUACACCUCCCACGAAUUGAUAAACCUUAGGUCAUCCACUUGAGGGAAAUUUUCUACUGUCCUACAAAACUCUGCGCUUGGAGGCCCAACACGAGUCUACAAUAAGAAGGUUGCAUAGUAGACAUCAAGCUCUUUUCUACCGCCGUUUGACGGGGAGGUGAGUGCUUGAAGGUAUAUCUUUAGAUCUUGCAAUUGAAUAUUUUAGUUUCUUGUUUAUCACUAGUUUGGCUUAUAAAAGAAAACUACAAAAAAUGGAAUUGAGGUUGUCUCAUAUGCUUCAUCUUUUUAAUGUCUUUCGUGAAAAUAAUGGAAAGGAAAAUUGUGCUCAAGUGUUAGAGGAAGAAGUCAAUAAAAUGUUUGGCACUAAAUAUUUGAAUGAUGAGCAUGAUUGCAAUGUUGUUAGUUUGAAUUCUUUGAAUAUCCAUGAUGCUAAUGAUAUGAAAAGCCAUAAGCUUGGGAUGCUAUGUUUGAUGAAGAUGAUAUUUUUUGUCCCCCAAGUUUUGAUGAGAAAAGUUAUUAGGGAGAUUUACAUUCCCCCCUAACUUUGUCCCGACCUCAUCUUUACCCCUAAAUAAAAACAGUGCUCAACUUUGACCCUCUUCCGUUAAGUGCGGUUAUAGAAAUGCUCUUCCGUACAUUUUCCAUCCAGUCAAUGGCCUUUGACCGUUAAGUGCGCGUAUAGAAAAAUCUAACGGUCAAAGGCCUUUGACUGGACGGAAAAUGUACGGAAGGGCAUUUCCAUAAGCGUACUUAACGGAAGAGGGGCAAAGUUGAGCACUGUUUUUAUUUAGGGGCAAAGAUGAGGUCGGGACAAAGUUAGGGGGAAAAUGGAAUUGGCCCAAGUUAUUAUGAUGAUAGCAUGCCUCCUAUUUAUGAUGAUUAUUGUGAUGACAUGUAUGCUAUAAAAAUAAUGAUAACCAUGAAGCUUGUCAUCAUGAUUUUAAUUUUCAAUUGGAUUACGCCUCACAUGAUAGAUAUUUGGUUGAGUUUGCUCCCACUACUAUCCAUGAGAAUAAAUUUGCUUAUGUGGAGAGUAAUAAAUUUUAUAUGGUUGUGGAUCAUGAAAAAAUGAUUUAUGUGAUAGUUAUAUCAUUGAAUUCAUACAUGAUGCUACUGAAAAUUACUAUGAGAGAGGAACAUAUACUUUUACAUAUUUCAAUAAUAUCAAGUUUCCUCUCUAUGUGUUGAAAGUUUUGAAGUCAUGCUCGUUUUGCCUUCCUAUGCUAGUUGAUUCGUGUUCCCAUAAAUUAUUUGCUCACAAAUCCCUAUGCAUAGGAAGUGGGUUAGAAUUAAAUGUGCUAGUCAUAUGCUUCAUGAUGCUCCCAUCAUGAUUCAAUUAAUAUCCUAUAUGUGAGCAUCAUGGAAAUCAUCAUGCAUAGCUAAAAAGGCAUUAAAGAAAAGCGCUUGUUGGGAGAUAACCCAAUAUUUAUAACUACUGUUUUUGUGUGUUCACAUGAUUAAGCUACUGUAGUAAUCAUGUUUUAUAGCUUUUGUUUCAAUAAAGUGCCAAGUACAGCCUUUGGGAUAGUGUGGAUGAUGGCUGACUUGAUUUUGUGCAAAAACAGAAACUUUUGCGUCCAAUACCAGAAUUUCUAAAAUUGACUGGAGCGUGCUAAAAUUCAGAAUUUUUGGCACAUGAUUGAUAUAAAAAUAACCUAUGUUUUUCUAUUUUUUCAGAAUUUUUUGGAGUAACAGAAGUAUGGUUGUUGUUCAGAUCAUUACAGACUGUUCUAUUUUUGACAGAUUCUAUUUUCAAUGCAUAGUUUGCUUGUUUUCUAGUUCCUAUGGCUUAUAUUGCUCAAUAUAAAUUGUAGAAAUGAUAUGAUACAGUAGGAAUCAUGUGAAAAAGUUUAUGAAUCUUAUCUUGACAGUACCAAAGUGAAUGAUUUGUCUUUACUAUACUAACCCAUCUCACGAAGUUCCGUUAAGUUUUGAAUGAUUGAAGUUUUCAAGUUUUGGGUGAGAUAUCGAUAUGAGGAGAAUAAGGAGUGACAAGACCCUAAGCUUGGGGAUGCCCAAGGCACCCCAAGAUAAUAUUCAAGGAAGAUCCAAACAACUAAGCUUGGGGAUGCCCCGGAAGGCGUCCCCUCUUUCGUCUCCAACAUUAUGGGUAACCUUACUUGGAGCUAUAUUUUUAUUCGUCACAUGAUAUGUGUUUUGCUUGGAGCAUCAUUUUAUUUUAUUUCUAUUUGCUUGCUGCUAUUUAGAAUAAAGUUUUUCAUCUUUUAGUUCAAUAAAAAGGUCAAGUAUAGCCUUUAUCAUGCUUAUUUUGCAAGUCUAUAUGUUGCUGUUUUGAAAACAGAAAGUUUUCUAUCAUGUCUAAAUUCUUUAAAAAUGUCAGAAUGUGAUAAAAUCUUGAAAGUUCUACACAGUAAGAUAUGAUAAAUUUUCUACAGUGUGGUAAAUUUUCAGAACUUUUGGAGUUAAAGAAGUAUGAAUAUUCUUGCAUUCUUUACAGAUUGUCCUGUUUAGACAGAUUGCUGUUAUGUUUGCAUUGUUUGCAUAUGUUUGCUUAUUUAAUGAUUCUAUUUGAGGAUAGGAGUAUUAAAUAUGCAGAGGAAUUUAGUACACAAUGUCAAAUAAUAAUUUUAGUGAUUUUCCUACAGUAGAAAAUGAUAAGGUUAUUGCAUUGAUUUAUACUAAAUUAUCUCACGAGUUCUUGUUGAGUUUUGUGUGGAUGAAGUUUUUAAGAAUUAGGGAAACCGUGAUAUGAGAGGAAUUAAGGAGACAAAAUAGCUCAAACUUGGGGAUUCCCAAGGCAUCCCAAAAUAAUAUUUCAAGAAGUCUCAAGCAUCUAAGCUUGGGGAUGCCCCGAUUGGCAUCCCACCUUUCUUCAUCAACAAUUAUCAGUUAGCCUCGGAGCCUAAGUUUUUGCUUCUUCACAUGAUAUGUGCUAUCCUUGCAAUGUCAUUUUAUUUUUGUUUUGCUUGUUGUUUGAAUAAUAUCCCAAGAUCUGAAAAUUUUAAAUGAGAAAGGGUCUUCACAUAGCUACAUAAUUAUUUGACUACUCAUUGAUCUUCACUUAUAUCUUUUUGGAGUAGUUUACCAUUUACUCUCGUACUUCACUUAUAUCCCAUGAGUAAAUGGUUGAAUGAAUUGAAUACCAUAAAUCUGACAUUGUAUACAUUUCAUAUGCUUAUCUCAUGGGGAAUAAUGACUUCACUUAUAAGAAGUAUAGGUGGUAAAAUUUAUUGAAAGUUAACAAACAUAACAUUGGUCACUUGAACAAUCCAUGAAAGAAUAUUGAAGGAAGAGAGGUUUCACAUAUAAAUAUACUAUCUUGGACAUCUUCUAUGAUUGUGAGCCCCAUUAAUUAUUUUCAAACUUGAGCAAAUUAGUUGAAGUUGGACAAGGAAGACAAUGUAAUGAGUUAUGUUUGGGUAUAUUUGUAUAGAAGCUAUAUUGUUAUGGAUCCUCCAACAUGUGGUGCUUGCUUAGGAUCUUUUGCUAGCCUUCACCUGUACUAAGCGGGAAUACUGCUUGUGCAUCCACUUCCUUAAACCCAAAGUUAUUCCAUAUGAGUCCACCAUACCUAGCUAUAUGUGGUAUUUACCUGCCGUUCCAAGUAAAUUUGCAUGUGCCACACUCUAAACCUUCAAAUAAUAAUCUGUUUUGUAUGCCCGAAUCGCUCAUGUAGCGACUGGGGGCUGUCAGUAUCUUCCAUGCUAGGUGGGUUAUUCUCACGAUGAGUGUUUAUUCACUUGUCAUUCAUGAGAAAGUGGUUGGUAAUUGGGAUGUCCAGUUCUAUGAUCAAAAUCAAAAUAUAAUAAUGAAACAAAACUCCCCAGGACUGUUGUUGGUAUGGAUGGUACCCGUGGAUUCGGCUAGUCCUGGAGUGUGAUUGUUGGUGGAGGGNNNNNNNNNNNNNNNNNNNNNNNNNNNNNNNNNNNNNNNNNNNNNNNNNNNNNNNNNNNNNNNNNNNNNNNNNNNNNNNNNNNNNNNNNNNNNNNNNNNNNNNNNNNNNNNNNNNNNNNNNNNNNNNNNNNNNNNNNNNNNNNNNNNNNNNNNNNNNNNNNNNNNNNNNNNNNNNNNNNNNNNNNNNNNNNNNNNNNNNNNNNNNNNNNNNNNNNNNNNNNNNNNNNNNNNNNNNNNNNNNNNNNNNNNNNNNNGGGGGUAAAAAAUUUACCUUUCUGUUUGGGAACCGCCUAUAAUGUAUCUAGCAUGGAAGAUAGUGAGAUCUCUUGGUUGUUAUGUUGACAAUGAGAGCAUACCGCUCAAAAUUAUAUUCAUCUCUGUUUUAAAAGCUUCGAGCUCUGGCACCUCUGCUAAUCCCUACUUCCCUCUGCGAAGGGCCUAUAUUUUACUUUUAUGCAAGAGUCAGUAGUAUUCCUUUCCAUUUCAACCCCAAUUAUUCUUUAGUUGGCAAGUAUCAUGUGGUGGGGAAAGAUCCAAGCAUAUAUGGCCAUUCAAAUAUAUUUGAUCAUGAAUUAUUAUUGUUGACAAUUAUCUAUAUGAUAAAUAAGUUAGGAGGAGAAACAUUAAGCCCCUAUCUUUCUAUGCGUCCGAUGGAUGCUAUUUGUUCUAAAAAUAUGCUUUGAGUGUCAGCAAUCAUAGAAGACUAUAUGAUGGUUGAGUAUGUGGAAUUUUCUAAAUCAAAGCUCUUACAUAGACCCUUCCUGAAAAUAAGAUGAAUUGCAAUUGUUUGAUGACCGAGAACAUAGUUUGUUAGUUUUCAAGAAAAGUUUAUCGUCUAUGCUUUAACAUGUAAACAACUCAUUACUUGAUCAUGAGAAGUUUUAUGAAAUGAGCUAUUGUUUAUGAUAUAUAAUGAUGCUAGAAAAAGUGAUUGGAAUUAUCAUUGAUCAAACUUGUGCAUUUGCUAGCAUUCACACUUCAUAUUUUUUUCUUUUAUCAUUUACCUACUCGAGGACGAGCAGGAAUUAAGCUUGGGGAUGCUGAUAUGUCUCCAACGUAUCUAUAAUUUAUGAAGUAUUCAUGCCAUGUUUGCAACGAUUUUAUAUGGUUUUGGUACGAAUUUAUUAGAACUAACCCGGACUAACGUUGUUUUCAGCAGAAGUACCAUGGUGUCGUUUUUUCUGCAGAAAUAAAAGUUCUCGGAAUGGGCGCUGAAAAUUUAGGUGACUUUUUAUGGACCAAAAUAGACCCCCGGAGCAUCGGAGCCAGGCUAGGAAGUGGACGAGGAGUCCACAAGCCUAGGGGAAUUCCCCCUCCCACCCCUUGGGCGUGCCCCCUAGCUUGUGGGCCCCUCGAGCAUCCCCCUAACGUGAGACCGACGCCAAAAAUUCCUAUAAAUCCCAAAACCCCCAGAAAGAAACCUGGAUCGGAAGUUCCGCCGCUGCAAGCCUCUAUAGCCACGAAAAACCAAUCGGGAGCCCCAAGGUGACAAUAAUUGGGAUUCUUUCCUAUGAUUACCGUAGUUUGAGGAGUUCAUGUAUUCACUAAGUGCUAAUGCUUUGGUUCGGUUCUCUAUUAAAAGGAAGCCUUAAUAUCCCUUAGUUUCCAUUAGGACCCCGUUGCCACGGGAGGGUGGGACAAAAUAUGUCAUGCAAGUUCUUUUCCAUAAGCAUGUUUGACUAUUUACGGAAUACAUGCCUACAUUAUAUUUAUGAACUGGAGCUAGUUCUUUGUCGCCCUAGGUUAUGACUGAUAUAUGAUGAAUAUCAUCCAACGAAUUCAUGAAUCCAAUGCCUACAAGUUUUCCACAUAUUGCUCUUGCUAAUUUACUAUUGCUAUUGCUACUGUCACAAUUGCUACAAAAUUAUUGCUAUCAUGGUCAUCGUUACUAUUGUUGUUACCGCUGCCAUCAAACUAUGAUAUUACUGUGUUACUGAUCACUUUGUUGCAGAUAUUUAAUCUCCGGGUGUGGUUGAAUUGACAACUCGACUGCUAAUGCUAAUAUUCUUUGGCUCCCCUUGUGUUGAAUCUAUAAAUUUGGGCUGAAUACUCUACCCUCAAAAACAGUUGUGAUCCCCUAUACUUGUGGUUUAUCAAGACCUUUUUCUAACGCCAUUGCCGGGGAGCAUGGCUAUAUUUGCUGAGUCACUUGGGAUUAUUAUCUAUUUAUCACUAUGAAGAAUCUGAAAGAUCCAAGAACCAAGAUCGUUCCCUCUAAGACGAGGGGAGGUAAGGAACUGCCAUCUAGCUCUGCACUUGAUUCACCUUCUGUUUUGAAUAGACUUGCAACACCACCACAUGCUAUUAAUUCUGAUAUGUUGCAAGUUAUUGGUGAUGCUACUUCUUCUAUGAAUGAUGCUUAUGAUGAUGCUAGUACCUUGCUUGAUGAUAAUGUGCCACUAGGUGAAUUUCUUGAGGAACAAAUUGCUAGAGCUAAAGAUAUUGAGAAUGUCGAAACUGAUGAAGUCUUUGAAAUUGAGAAUUAUGAAACACCUAUUAGACCUAGCUCUCCUAGGUUUGAAUUGCCUAAGAUACCUGAGAGUUAUGUUAUGGAUGAGGAGGUAGCUAGAGACUUUCUUGCUUGCAAGGAUAGAGAUGAUCUUAAGAAUUUAUUAUGCAAACUGAAAGAAAGCUUUUUGAAUGCUAGAAUGAAAUGUGAUCCUAAGUUUGCUACUUCACCUAUAUUUAUUACCGGUAAGGAUUAUGAAUUCUCUGUCGACCCAUACUUAAUUACUUUGGUUGAAUCCGAUCCUUUCCAUGGCUAUGAAACUAAAACUUUUAUGACACAUCUUACUAAAUUAAAUGAUAUAGCCACCCUAUUUGCUCAUGAUGAGAAAAUUCACUAUUACUAUAUGAUACAUCUCCAACGUAUCUAUAAUUUUUUAUUGUUCCAUGCUAUUAUAUUAUCCAUCUUGGAUGUUUUAUAUGCAUUUAUAUGCUAUGUCAUAUGUUUUUUAGGACUAACCUAUUUACCUAGAGCGCAGUGCCAGUUUCUGUUUUUCCUUGUUUUUGAGUAUCGCAGAAAAGGAAUAUCGAACGGAGCCCCAUUGACCUGAAAAUUUACGGAGAAUAUUUUUGGACCAGAAGAAGCCCAUGAAGCAUCAGAGAUGGACCAGAAGAGUCCUGAUGCCACCACGAGGGUGGAGGGCACGCCCUACCCCCAUGGGCGCGCCCCCUACCUCGUGGCUGCCUCGUGGACCCCCCUGACUUGUUCCCAACGCCAACACCUCUUAUAUGUCCCCAAACUUCUAGAACAGAACCAAGAUCGCGAGUUCUGCCGCUUCAAGUCUCUGUAGCCACCAAAAACCAAUCGGGGCCCUAUUCCGGCACCCUGCCGGAGGGGGAAUCCAUCACCAGUGGCCAUCUCGCUCUCCAUGACGAGGAGGGAGUAGUUCACCCUCGGGGUUGAGGGUAUGUCCAAUAGCUAUGUGUUUGAUCUCUCUCUCUCUCUCUCUCAUGUUCCUGAUAUGGCACGAUCUUGAUGUACCGCGAGCUUUGCUAUUAUAGUUGGAUCUUAUAAUGCUUCUCCCCCUCUACCUUCUUGUAAUGGAUUGAGUUUUCCCUUUGAAGUUAUUUUAUCGGAUUGAGUCUUUAAGGAUUUGAGAACACUUGAUGUAUGUCUUGCAAGUGCUUAUCUGUGGUGACAAAUGGGAUAUUCACGUGAUCUACUUGAUGUAUGUUUUGGUGAUCAACUUGCGGGUUCUAUGACCUUGUGAACUUAUGCAUAGGGGUUGGCACACAUUUUUGUCUUGACUCUCCGGUAGAAACUUUGGGGCACUCUUUGAAGUUUUUUGUGUUGGUUUGAAUAGAUGAAUAUGAGAUUGUGUGAUGCAUAUCGUAUAAUCAUACCCGCGGAUACUUGAGGUGACAUUGGAGUAUCUAGGUGACAUUAUGGUUUUGGUUGAUGUGUGUCUUAAGGUGUUAUUUUACUACGAACUCUAGGGAUGUUUGUGACACUUAUAGGAAUAGCCCAAUGGAUUGAUCGGAAAGAAUAACUUUGAGGUGGUUUCAUACCCUACAAUAAUCUCUUCGUUUGUUCUCCGCUAUUAGUGACUUUGUAGUGACUCUUUUAUGCACGUUGAAGGAUUGUUAUAUGAUCUAAUUAUGUUAUUAUUGUUGAGAUAACUUGCACUAGUGAAAGUGUGAACCCCAGGCCUUGUUUCGAAGAAUUGCAAUACCGUUUUCGCUCACUUUUGUUACUUGCUACCUUGCUGUUUUUAUAUUUCCAGAUUACAAAAACCUAUAUCUACCAUCCAUAUUACGCUUGUAUCACCAUCUCUUCACCGAACUAGUGCACCUAUACAAUUUACCUUUGUAUUGGGUGUGUUGGGGACACAAGAGACUCUUUGUUAUUUGGUUGCUGAGUUGUUUGAGAGAGACCAUCUUCAUCCUACGCCUCCCAUGGAUUGAUAAACCUUAGGUCAUCCACUUGAGGGAAAUUUGCUACUGUCCUACAAACCUCUCCACUUGGAGGCCGAACAAUGUCUACAAGAAGAAGGUUGCAUAGUAGACAUCAAGCUCUUUUCUGGCGACAUUGCCGGGGAGGUGAGUGCUUGAAGGUAUAUCUUUAAAUCUAGCAAUCGAAUCUUUUAGUUUCUUGUUUUAUCACUAGUUUAGUCUAUAAAAGAAAACUACAAAAAAUAUAAUUGAGGUUGCCUCAUAUGCUUCAUCUUUUUAAUGGCUUUCGUGAAAAUGAUGGGAAGGAAAAUUGUGCUCGAGUGCUAGAAGAAGAACGCAUUAAAUUUUUUGGCACUAAGUCUUUGAAUGAUGAGCAUGAUUGCAAUGUUGUUAAUAUUAAUUCUUUGGAUAUCCAUGAUGCUAAUGAUAUGCAAAGCCACAAGCUUGGGGAUGCUAUGUUUAAUGAAGAUGAUAUUUUUAGUCUCCCAUGUUUUGAUAUGCAAAUUUAUUAUGGUGAAAGCAUGCCUCCUAUUUAUGAUGAUUAUAUUGAUUAAAGUGGAUUUGGAGAGGUCAUGCCUUUAUUUAGUAAUGAUUCCAAUAUCUCGGAAGAGGUUUCAAUUGAUUAUGAUGAGAACAAAGUUGCUACUUAUGAUGAUUAUUGUGAUGAUACUUAUGUUAUAAAAAGUAGUGAUGAUUAUAUUUAUAAAACUUGUCAUGAUCAUGAUUACCCUUUUUCUGAACAUUACUCUUUUAAUGUGGAAACAAUUUAUAGUAUUCGAGUUUCUUAUGAUACUCCCACUAUUCCAAAUGAGAAGAAUUUUGCUUAUGUGGAGAGUAAUACAAUUUCUAUGCUUGUGCAUCAUGAAAAUAAUGCUUUAUGUGAUAGUUAUAUUGUUGAAUUCAUUCAUGAUGCUACUGAAAAUUACUAUGAGGAGGAAUAUAUGCUUGUAGGAAUUGCAAUAAUAUAAAGUUUCCUUUCUAUGUGUUGAAAAUCUUGAAGUUAUGCUUGUCUUGCCUUCCCAUGCUAGUUGAUUCUUGCUCCCAUAAAUUGUUUGCUCAAAAAAUCCCUAUGCAUAGGAAGUGGGUUAGACUUAAAUGUGUUAUUCAUAUGCUUCAUGAUGCUGUCUUUGAAGUUCAAUUCUUAUCUUUCAUGUGAGCAUCAUUGAAAUCAUCAUGCCUAGCUAAAAUUGCAUUAAAGAAAAGCGCUUGUUGGGAGACAACCCAAUAUUUACCCGUACUAAUUUUGUGUGUUCACAUGAUUAUGCUACUGUAUUAAUCAUGUUUUAUAGCUUUGUCUCAAUAAAGUUCCAAGUAAAGCCUUUGGGAUAGUGUUGAUGAUAGUUGACUUGAUUCUGUGCAAAAAACAGAAUCUUUUGCUCUCAGUCCAGUAAUUUUGAAAAUUCACUGGAACGUGCAUUUUCUUUGAAUAUUUUACAAAAUAUUUAUAUACAAAUUUCCUAGAUUUUUCCUAAUUUUUCAGAAUUUUUGGAGUUAUAGAGGUAUGGAAAGUUUCCAGAUUACUACACUCUGUUCUGUUUUAAACAGAUUCUAUUUUCUAUGUGUUGUUUGCUUAUUUUAAUGAAUCUAUGAGUAGUAUCGGAGGGUAUGAGCCAUGAAUAAGUUGGAAUGCAGUAUAUAUAACACCAAUAUGAAUUUAGAAUGAGUACAAAAUAGUACCAUAAAGUGGUGAUUUGCUUUCUUAUACUAACGGAUCUCAUAAGAUUUUCUGUUGAGUUUUGUGUUGUGAAGUUUUCAAGUUUUGGGUGAAGUUUGGAUGGACUUCAAGGACAACCAAGAGCCUAAGCUUGGGGAUGCCCCGGAUGGCAUCCCCUCUUUCAUCUUCGUUCAUCGGUAACCUUACCUAGAGUUAUAUUUUUAUUCACCACAUGAUAUGUAUUUUUGCUUGGAGCAUCAUUUUAUUUUGUUUUUAUUUGCUUGCUGCUUGAAUAAUAUCCCAAGAUCUGAAAUUCUAAAAUGUUAGAGAGUCUUCACAUAGUUACAUGAUUAUUCGACUACUCAUUGAUCUUCACUUAUAUCUUUUGGAGUAGUUUGUCAUUUGCUCUAGUGCUUCACUUAUAUCUUUUUAGAGCACGGCGGUGGUUUUAUUUUGAAGAAAUUAAUGAACUCUCAUGCUUCACUUAUAUUAUUUUGAGAGUCUUAAACAACAUCGUAAUUUGCUUCGAUUAGGAAUUUAGUCCUAAUAUGAUGGGCAUCCAAGAGGGAUAUAAUAAAAACUUUCAUAUAAAGUGCAUUCAAUACUAUGAGAAGUUUGAUUCCUUAUGAUUGUCUUGAGAUAUGAGGAUGGCGAUAUUAGAGUCAUGCUAGUGGAGUAAUUGUGUAUUGUAGAAAUACUUGUGUUGAGGUUUGUGAUUCCCGUAGCAUGCACGUAUGGUGAACCGUGAUGUAACGAAGUUGGAACAUGAGGUAUUUUUUGAUUGUCAUCCUUUGUGUGGAGGUCAGGAUCGCGCGAUGGUUAACUCCAACCAACCCUUCCCCUAGGAGCAAGCGCGUAGUGCUUGGUUUUGAUGACUAAUAGAUUUUUGCAAUAAGUAUGUGAGUUAUUUAUGACCAAUGUUGAGUCCAUGGAUUAUAAGCACUCUCACCCUUCCACCAUUGCUAGCCUCUCUUGUGUCGCGCAACUUUUGCCGAUAUCAUACACCCACCAUAUACCUUCCUCAAACCAGCCACCAUACCUACCUAUUAUGGCAUUUCCAUAGCCAUUCCGAGAUAUAUUGCCAUGCAACUUUCCACCGUUUCAUUUAUUAUGACAUGCUUCACCAUUGUCAUAUUUCUUUGCAUGAUCAUGUAGUUGACAUCGUAUUUAUGGCAAAGCCACCUUUCAUAAUUCUUUCAUACAUGUCACUUUUCAUUCAUUGCACAUCCCGGUACACCGCCGGAGGCGUUCAUAUAGAGUCAUAUUUUGUUCUAAGUAUCGAGUUGUAAUUCUUGAGUUGUAAGUAAAUAAAAGUGUGAUGAUUUUCCAGUGAAGAAAGGAUGAUGUAGACUAUGAUUCCCCCACAAGUCGGGAUGAGACGUGAUGACCCACAAGUAUAGGGGAUCUAUCGUAGUCCUUUCGAUAAGUAAGAGUGUCGAACCCAACGAGGAGAAGAAGGAAAUGACAAGCGGUUUUCUGUAAGGUAUUCUCUGCAAGCACUGAAAUUAUCGGUAACAGAUAGUUUUGUGAUAAGAUAAUUCGUAACGGGUAACAAGUAACAAAAAUAACUAAGGUGCAGCAAGGUAGCCCAAUCCUUUUUGUAGCAAAGGACAAGCUUGUACAAACUCUUAUAUAAAGCAAAGUGAUCCCGUGGACACAUGGGAAUUUCUGUCAAGCUAGUUUUCAUCAUGCUCAUAUGAUUCGCAUUCGUUACUUUGAUAAUUUGAUAUGUGGGUGGACCGGUGCUUGGGUACUGCUCUUCCUUGGAAAAUCAUCCCACUUAUGAUUAACCCCUCUCUCAAGCAUCCGCAACUACGAAAUAAGAAUUAAGGUAAACCUAACCAUAGCAUGAAACAUAUGGAUCCAAAUCAGCCCCUUACGAAACAACGCAUAAACUAGGGUUUAAGCUUCUGUCACUCUAGCAACCCAUCAUCUACUUAUUAAUUCCCAAUGCCUUCCCCUAGGCCCAAACAAUGGUGAAGUGUCUUGUAGUCGACGUUCACAUAACACCACUAGAGGAGAGACAACAUACAUCUCAUCAAAAUAUCGAACGAACACCAAAUUCACAUGAUUACUUAUAACAAGACUUCUCCCAUGCCCUCAGGAACAAACGUAACUACUCACAAAUCAUAUUCAUGUUCAUAAUCAGAGGGGUAUUAAUAUGCAUUAAGGAUCUAAACAUAUAAUCUUCCACCAAAUAAACCAACUAGCAUCAACUACAAGGAGUAAUCAACACUACUAGCAACCCACAGGUACCAAUAUGAGGUUUUGAGACAAAGAUGAGAUGAACUAGGGUUUGAGAGGAGAUGGUGCUGGUGAAGAUGUUGAUGGAGAUUGACCCCCUCUUGAUGAGAGGAUCGAUGGUGAUGACGAUGGCGGAGAUUUCCCCCUCCGGGAGAGAUGUUUCCCCGGGAGAACAGCUCCGCCAGAGCCCUAGAUUGGUCCUGCCCAAGUUCUGCCUCAAGAUAGUGGCGCUUUGUCCCAAAAGCUUCCUUAUGAUUUUUUCCAGGGCAAAAGACACCAUAUAGCAGAAGAUGGACGUCGGGGGCCUGCCAGGUGGCCUAGGAGGCAGGGGCGCACCCUCCACCCUCGUGGCUGGUGGGUGGCCCCCCUUUGGUGCUUUCUUUGCCCAAUAUUUUUAAUAUAUUCCAAAACUGACUUUCGUGGAGUUUCAGGACUUUUGGAGUUGUGCAGAAUAGGUCUCUAAUAUUCGCUCCUUUUCCAGCCCAGAAUUCCAGCUGUCGGCAUUCUCCCUCUUCGUGUAAACCUUAUAAAAUAAGAGAGAAAAGGCAUAAGUAUUGUGACAUAAUGUGUAGUAGAAGCCCAUAAUGCAAUAAAUAUUGAUAUAAAAGCAUGAUGCAAAAUGGACGUAUCAACUCCCCCAAGCUUAGACCUCGCUUGUCCUCAAGCGAAAGCCGAUAUCGAAAAAUAUGUCCACAUGUUUAGAGAUAGAGGUGUUGAUAAAAUAAAAUACGGGCAUGAGGGCAUCAUGAUCAUUCUUAGAAUAGCAACAUAUAUUUUGUCAUAUGAUUUCUUAUGCUAAACUAACAAUCUAUUAAAUCGAAACAGACUUUCGCCCAGCUUUAUAGAUAAAGCAGACGCCCAAACCACGUCUCAACCAAAGUCAUAAAAGAGAAAAGCUGGGGCCACACACAAAGACGCCCAAAUGAAAGAAACAUAAACGACAAAGGCCACCAAGGGAAAGCUAUGAAGUAGGUGGGCGGUCGGAGAGCCGACACGCGGUAGACACUAGGGUGUCCAGCAAGAGCUGAAGACGGUCAUGAUCCCUCGGCCUAGCGAGCGGAUGCCAGUACUACAAGAAGGCAAGAAAUUUGAAGAACAAGUCAGAAGGAUGACGCGAGAACACCCGCUCAAUCACCAUCUUGUUGCGAGUAGUCCAAAGAGUCCACAUCAUAGCCGCGAAGAUGAGCCAGAACAGUCGGCGCUUACGGCCAACCUGGGUGGCCCUUACCUGCAGAAACUCUGCAAGGUCAUGGGCCUCCCACUCUGGUCCUAGAGCCUCAUGAACAAAGCACCAAAGUGCCUACGCUGCUACGCAAGAAAACAAAAUGUGCGUUCCCGUUUCAAGGAAAUGGCACAAAGGGCAAAGGCCAUUGCCCGGACCAUGGCAUUUCAACACCUCAGUCCUAGAAGGGAGAUGAUCUUGUAGAAGCUACCAUACGAAGAUCUUAAUCUUCAAGGGCAUCAGUGGCUUCCACAGUGGGGAUAGCCACUAUAGAACCGGCACACGACAUAAUGCCCAGUAGGACGAACUAACGGAGAAUUCACCUGAAGGAGAAAGGCUCCAAGAAACAGUGUCAGGGUCCUGGGACAGAGGAUGAGGGACUACUUCCCACAGGUCUGUCCAUUCCCGUACCUCACCUGGUCCGAAUGAGCGGCGAAACGCAAUGUUCCAUCUGAUACGUCUCCAACGUAUCUAUAAUUUAUGAAGCAUUCAUGCUAUUAUAUUAUCUGUUUUGGAUGUUUAUGGGCUUUACUAAGAACUUUUAUAUUAUUUUUGGGACUAACCUAUUAACCGGAGGCCCAGCCCAAAUUGCUGUUUUCUUGCCUAUUUUAGUGUUUCGAAGAAAAGGAAUAUCAAACGGAGUCCAAACAGAAUGAAACAUCCGGAAGCGUGAUUUUUGGAACGAACGUGAUCCAGGAGACGUGGAGCUGAAGUCAGGGAAGCUUCAAGGAGGCCACGAGGAAGGGGGGCGCGCCCACCCCCCUGGGUGCGCCCUCCACCCUCGUUCGCCCAUCGAGGCUCCCCCGACUGACUUCUUUUGCCUAUAUAAGUCCAUAUACCCUAAAACCUUCGGGGAACACAGUAGAUCGGGAGUUCCGCCGCCGCAAGCCUCUAUAGUCACCAAACACCUCUCGGGAGCCCGUUCUGACACCCUGCCGGAGGGGGAAUCCAUCACCGGUGGCCAUCUUCAUGAUCCCGGCGCUCUCCAUGACGAGGAUGGAGUAGUUCACCCUCGGGGCUGAGGGUACCAGUAGCUAUGUGUUUGAUCUCUCUCUCUCUCUCUCUCUCUCUCUCUCGUGUUCUUGAGCUGAUACGAUCUUGAUGUAUCGCGAGCUUUGCUGUUAUAGUUUGAUCUUAUGAUAUUUCUCCCCCUCUACUCUCUUGUAAUGGAUUGUGUUUUCCCUUUGAAGUUAUCUUAUCGGAUUGAGUCUUUAAGGAUUUGAGAACACUUGAUGUAUGUCUUGCCGUUCUUAUCUGUGGUGACAAUGGGAUAUUCACGUGAUCUACUUGAUGUAUGUUUUGGUGAUCAACUUGUAGGUUCAAUGAACUUAUGCAUAGGGGUUGGCACACGUUUUCGUCUUGACUCUCCGGUAGAAACUUUGGGGCACUCUUUGAAGUACUUUGUGUUCGUUGAACAUAUGAAUCUGAGAUUGUGUGAUGCAUAUCGUAUAAUCAUGCCCAUAGAUACUUGAGGUGACAAUGGAGUAUCUAGGUGACACUAGGGUUUUGGUUGAUUUGUGUCUUAAGGUGUUAUUCUAGUAUGAACUCUAUGAUAGAUUGAACGGAAAGAAUAGCUUCAUGUUAUUCUUCUACGGACUCUUGAAUAGAUCGAGCAGAAAGAAUAACUUUGAGGUGGUUUCGUACCCUACCAUAAUCUCUUUUCUCCGCUAUUAGUGACUUUGGAGUGACUCUUUGUUGCAUGUUGAGGGAUAGUUAUAUGAUCCAGUUAUGUUAUUAUUGUUGAGAGAACUUGCACUAGUGAAAGUAUGAACCUUAGGCCUUUUUCCUAGCAUUGCAAUACCGUUUGUGCUCACUUUUAUCAUUAGUUACCGUGCUGUUUUUAUAUUUUUCAGAUUACAAAAACCUAUAUCUAUUAUCCAUAUUGCACUUGUAUCACCAUCUCUUCACUGAACUAGUGCACCUAUACAAUUUACCAUUGUAUUGGGUGUGUUGGCGACACAAGAGACUCUUUGUUAUUUGGUUGCAGGGUUGCUUGAGAGAGACCAUCUUCAUCCUACGCCUCCUACGGAUUGAUAAACCGUAGGUCAUCCACUUGAGGGAAAUUUGCUACUGUUCUACAAAACUCUGCACUUGGAGGCCCAACAACGUUUACAAGGAGAAGGUUGCGUAGUAGACAUCAAGCUCUUUUCUGGCGCCGUUGCCGGGGAGGUGAGUGCUUGAAGGUAUAUCUUUAGAUCUUGCAAUCGAAUCUUUUUGUUUCUUGUUUUAUCACUAGUUUAGUCUAUAAAAGAAAACUACAAAAAAAAUGGAAUUGAGUUUGUCUCAUACGCUUCAUCUUUUUAAUAUCUUUCGUAAGUAUGAUGAAAAGGAAAAUUGUGCUCAAGUGCUAGAGGAAGAAGUCUAUAAAAUGUUUGAUACUAAAUCUUUGAAUGAUGAGCAUGAUUGCAAUGUUGUUAGUAUGAACGCUUUGAAUAUCCAUAGUACUAAUGAUGAUUGCACUAGUUAUGAUGAAAAUGUCUCCUAUAAGCAUGUCGAUUUUUGUGGAGAGCAUUGGGUUUGCAUGAACACACCAAAUAGAGAAGAUAGAUAUUGCAAGAGGCAUAAGCAUUUAGAAACGAAAUUGUUGCAAGAAAGGUUAAAUGUGAGUGCUGAAAAUUUAUAUUUCCUUCGCCGUACUUGUGAACUUUGCAAUGAAAGUGGUCAUUUACAUCUCCGAUGCAAAUUGUUUCAUGAUCGAAUCAUGUCCAAAAAUUGUGAUGAUUUGAUCUCCCUUGCACAUUAUAAUGAACUUAGUUUGCUUAUAGGCUAUGAAGAAAUGGAACAUUUAAUUAAGCACCUUCCAGAAUUUGCCAGUUAUAAACUUCUUGAUUUUGAUCUAGAGAAGAUUUAUAUGUUUUGUGCCGUGAAUUGCAUUGAAAAUCCUUAUAUUUCCAAUUACCUAAAGAAAAGAAAGCAAAUAGAAGAUGAAUAGAAUACUAAUGAAAGGGAAGAGACUUCCCGAUAUCCUCCUAUUAUUUCUUAUGAUGAAUCAGGUAACGAGGAGGAGCUUUCUAUUCAACCAAUCUCAUCAAUAAGGAGCUCAAAUAAGAAGGUUGAACCCACACAUAAUGUGAAGAAGAAAAAGAAAAAACGGAGACAAAGGUAGAAAGGUAUCUCUCCCAAAUGAUGUUGCUCCUACUACUCAUUGUGAUGAUGAUAAUUGCUAUACUAUUGGUGCUAUCCAUACUAUUAAUGAUGAGAGUGAUUAUGCUUAUGAUAUGAAAAGGCCUAAGCUUGGGGAAACUAUGUUUGAUGAGGAUGAAAUAUUUGCGAAUGUAUUUGCUGAAAUUAAUGUUUGUCCCAAGCUUGGGGAUGCUACGUUUAAUGAAGAUGAUAUUUUUAGCCUCCCAAGUUUUGAUAUGCAAAGUUGUUACGAUGAUAGCAUGCCUCUUACCUAUGAUGAUUAUAUUGAUGAAAGUGGGUUUGGAAGAGUGUCAACUUUAGGAAGUAAUGAUCCCACUAUUUUGGAGGAUGUUGAAUCUUAUAAUAUUUAUGAAAGUGGAUUUGGAGAGGUCAUGACUUUAUUUAGUGAUGAGUCCACUAUUUUGGAAGAGGUUUCAAUCAAUUAUGAUGAGAACAAAGUUGCUACUUAUAAUGAUUAUUGUGAUGAAACUUAUGCUAUAAAAAGUAGUGAUGAUUAUAUUUAUAAAACUUGUCAUGAUUAUGAUUAUCCUUUUUCUGAACAUUACUCUCUUAAUGUAGAAACAAUUUAUAGUAUUCGAGUUUCUUAUGAUACUCCCACUAUUCCUAAUGAGAAGAAUUUUGCUUAUGUGGAGAGUAGUAAAUUUUCUAUGCUUGUAGAUCAUGAAAAGAAUGCUUUAGGUGUUGGUUAUAUUGUUGAAUUCAUUCAUGAUGCUACUGAAAAUUAUUAUGAGGGAGGACUAUAUGCUUGUAGGAGUUGCAAUAAUAUCAAGUUUCCUCUCGAUGUGCUUAAAGUUUUGAAGUUAUGCUUGUUUAGCCUUCCUAUGCUAGUUGAUUAUUGUUCCCAUAAGUUGUUUUCUCACAAAAUCCCUAUGCAUAGGAAGUGGGUUAGGCUUAAAUGUGCUAGUCAUAUGCUUCAUGAUUCUCCCAUUAUGUUUCAAUUCUUAUCUUUUAUGUGAGCAUCAUUGUCAUCAUCAUGCCUAGCUCGAAAGGCAUUAAAGAAAAGCGCUUGUUGGGACACAACCCAAUAUCUACCUUACUGUUUUUGUGUUUCCACAUGACUAUGCUACUGUAGUAAUAAUUUUUUAUAGCUUUUGUUUCAAUAAAGUUCCAAGUAAGACCUUUAGGAUAGCUUACGGUGAUAGUUGUGUUGAUCCUGCUGAAAAUCAGAAACUUUUGGACCCAGUAAAUUAGUUUUUAUAAUUCACAGAAACGUGAUUUUUAUCUGAUUCGUUUUGCUCAGGAUUGGUACACAACUUCCUUAGGUCUUACUAAUUUGGUAGGAUUUUUGGAGUUCCAUAAGUAUACGUUUGAUACAGAUUACUACAGACUGUUCUGUUUUUGACAGAUUCUGUUUUCUAUGUGUUGUUUGCUUAUUUUGAUGAAUCUAUGAGUAGUAUCGGUGGGUAUGAACCAUAUAGAAGUUGGAAUACAGUAUAUAUUACACCAAUAUGAAUUUAGAAUGAGUUCAUUACAGUACCUAAGUGGUGGUUUUAUUUUCUUAUACUAACGGAGCUUACGAGUUUUCUGCUGAGUUUUGUGUUGUGAGGUUUUCAAGUUUUGGGUAAAGAUUCGAUGGACUAUGGAAUAAGGAGUGGCAAGAGCCUAAGCUUGGGGAUGACCAAGGAACCCCAAGGCAAUAUUCAAGGACAACCAAGAGCCGAAGCUUGGGGAUGCCCCGGAUGGCAUCCCCUCUUUCGUCUUCGUCUAUCGGUAACUUUACUUGGAGCUAUAUUUUUAUUCACCACAUAAUACGUGUUUUGCUUGGAGCAUCAUUUUCUCUUGUUAGUAUUUGCUUUCUGUUAUUUAGAAUAAUUUUUUGCAUCUAUAUUUUCGAUAAAAAUGUUAAGGAUAGCGUUUACCAUGCUUAUUUUGCUAGUAUACAUGUUGCUGUUUGAAAACAGAAAGUUUACCGCUGUUGCAAAAAUUCCCUGGAAAAGUCAGAGAAUGGUAUAAUGUUGAAACUUUUUGCAUACUGAGCUCUGAUAAAUCUUCUACAGUGAGGUAUUUUUCUCAUAAUUUUUGGAGUUAGGUAUGUAUGAUGAAUCUUGCAUUCUUUACAGACUAUACUGUUUUGGCAGAUUGCUGUUAUGGUUGCAUUGUCUGCAUAUGUUUGCUUGUUUAAUGAUUCUGUUUGAGGAUAGGAGUAUUAAAUAUGCAGAGGCAUUUAGUAUGCAAUGUUGAAUAAUAAUUUUAGUGAUUUGUUACAGUAGAAAAUGAUAAGGUUUUUGCAUUGGUUUAUACUAACUUAUCUCACGAGUUCUUGUUGAGUUUGGUGUGGAUGAAGCUUUAGAGAUUUAGGAAACCGAGAUAUAAAAGGAAUUAAGGAGACACAAAAGCUCAAGCUUGGGGAUGCCCAAGGCAUCCCAAGAUAAUAUUUCAAGAAGUCUCAAGCAUCUAAGCUUGGGGAUGCCCCGGUAGGCAUCCCACCUUUCUUCUUCAACAAUUAUCGGUUAGUAUCAGUUGAACCUAAGUUUUUGCUUCUUCACAUAAGUUGUGCUAUCCUUGCAAUGCCAUUUUAUUUUGCUUUCUGUUUGAAUAAAAUACCAAGAUCUGGAAUUCUUAAAUGAGACAGAGUCUUCACAUAGUUAUGUAAUUAUUUAGCUACUCAUUGAUCCUCACUUAUAUCUUUUUGGGGUAGUUUGUCAUUUACUCGUGUGCUUCACUUAUAUCCUAUGAGUAAAUGGUUGAAUGAGUUGAAUGUCAUAAAUCUGAAAUUAUAUAUGUUUCAUUUGCUUUUCCCAUGGGGAGUAAUAACUUCACAUCUAAGAAGUAGAGAUGGUAAAUUUAUUGAAGGUUAGCAAGCAUUGUAUUGGUCAUUUGAACAAUUCAUGAAAGAAUAUUGAAGGAAGAGAGAUUUCACAUAUAAAUAUACUAUCUUAGACAUCUUCUAUGAUUGUGAGCCCCAUUAAUUAUUUUAGUUGAAGUUGGACAAGGAAGACAACGUAAUGAGUUAUGCUUGGGUAUAUUUGUAUAGAAGUUAUAUUGUUAUAGAUCCUCCAACAUGUGGUGCUUGCUUUUUAGAAACCUUUGCUAACCAAAAUAUCUGUACUAAGCAGGAAUACUGCUUGUGCAUCCAAAUUCCUUGAACCAAGUUUCUUUCAUGAGUGUCCACCAUACCUACCAAUAUGCGGUAUUUACCUGCCGUUCCAAGUAAAUUUGCAUGUGCCAAACUCUAAACCUUCAAAUAAUAAUCUGUUUUGUAUGCCCGAAUCGCUCAUGUAGCGACCAGGGGCUGUCAGUAUCUUCCAUGCUAGGUGGGUUAUUCUCAAGACGAGUGUACUCCGCUCAUCAUUCACGAGAGAAAUGGCUGGUAACCGGGAUGCCCAGUCCCAUGAUCAAAAGAUCAAAAUCAAAUCAAAAAUAAUUGCAAAAAAACUCCCCUUGGAUUGAUGUUAGUUGGACGACACCCGUUGUUUCAAACAAGCCGUGGAGUGUGAUUGUUGGUGGAGGGGGAGUAAAAACUUUACCAUUCUGUUUGGGAACCGCCUAUAAUGUAUGUAGUAUGGAAGAUAUUGGGAACUCUUGGUUGUUAUGUUGACAAUGAAAGCAUACCUCUCAAAAUUAUUUUCAUCUCUAUUUCAAAAUUGAGCUCUGGCACCUCUGCAAAUCCCUGCUUCCCUCUGCGAAGGGCCUAUCUUUUACUUUUAUGCAAGAGUCAGUAGUAUUCCUUCUCAUUCCUGCCUACUCUUUAGUUGGCAAGCAUCGUGCGUUGGGGAAAGAUCUAAGCAUAUAUGUCCAUGCAAAUAUAUUUGAUCAUGAAUUAUUAUUGUUGACAAUUAUCUAUAUGAUAAGUGAGUUGGGAGGCGAAACACUAAGCCCCUAUCUUUCUCUGUGUUCGAUGGAUGCUAUUUGUUCUAAAAAUAUGCUUUGAGUGGUAGCAAUCAUGGAAGACUAUAUGAUGGUUGAGUAUGUGGAGUUUGCUAAAUCAAAGCUCUGACAUAGACCCUUCCUGAAAAUAAGAUGAAUUAUAAUUGUUUGAUGACUGAGAAUGAAGUUUUCUAGUUUUCAAGAAAGUUUAUGGUCUAUGCUUUAACAUGUGAUUAGCUUGUUACUUGAUCUUGAGAAGUUGUAUGAGAUGAACUACUGUUAUGACAUAUAAUCAUGCUAGAAAAGGUGAUUGAAAUUAUCAUUUAUCAAACUUGUGCACCUUCUAGCAUUCACACUUCAUAAAUUCUUUAUUUUAUCAUUUACCUACUCGAGGAUGAGUAGGAAUUAAGCUUGGGGAUGCUGAUACGUCUCCAACGUAUCUAUAAUUUAUGAAGCAUUCAUGCUAUCAUAUUAUCUGUUUUGGAUAUUUAUGGGCUUUACUAAGCACUUUUAUAUUAUUUUUGGGAGUAACCUAUUAACCGGAGGCCCAUCCCAGAUUGUUGUUUUCUUGCCUAUUUCAGUGUUUUGAAGAAAAGGAAUAUCAAACGGAGUCCAAACGGAAUGAAACCUUCGGGAGCGUGAUUUUUGGAACGAACGUGAUCCAGGAGACGUGGAGCUGAAGUGAGGGAAGCUUCAUGGAGGCCACAAGGCAGGGGGGCGCGCCCACCCCCUGGGCACACCCUCCACCCUUGUGGGCCCCUCGAGGCUCCCCCGACCGACUUCUUUCGCCUAUAUAAGUCCAUAUACCCUAAAACCUUCGGGGAACACAAUAGAUCGGGAGUUCCGCCGCCACAAGCCUCUGUAGCCACCAAAAACCUCUUGGGAGCCCGUUCCGGCACCCUGCCGGAGGGGGAAUCCAUCACCGGUGGCCAUCUUCAUCAUGCCGACGCUCUCCAUGAUGAGGAGGGAGUAGUUCACCCUCAGGGCUGAGGGUAUGUACCAGUAGCUAUGUGUUUGAUGUCUGUCUCUCUCGUGUUCUUGAGGUGAUACGAUCUUGAUGUAUCACGAGCUUUGUUGUUAUAGUUGGAUCUUAUGAUGUUUCUCCCCCUCUACUCUCUUGUAAUGGAUUGAGUUUUCCCUUUGAAGUUAUCUUAUCGGAUUGAGUCUUUAAGGAUUUGAGAACACUUGAUGUAUGUCUUGCCGUGCUUAUCUGUGGUGACAAUGGGAUAUUCACGUGAUCUACUUGAUGUAUGUUUUGGUGAUCAACUUGUAGGUUCAAUGAACUUAUGCAUAGGGGUUGGCACACGUUUUUGUCUUGACUCUCCGGUAGAAACUUUGGGGCACUCUUUGAAGUACUUUGUGUUCGUUGAACAGAUGAAUCUGAGAUUGUGUGAUGCAUAUCGUAUAAUCAUGCCCACGGAUACUUGAGGUGACAAUGGAGUAUCUAGGUGACACUAGGGUUUUGGUUGAUUUGUGUCUUAAGGUGUUAUUCUAGUAUGAACUCUAUGAUAGAUUGAACGGAAAGAAUAGCUUCAUGUUAUUCUUCUACGGACUCUUGAAUAGAUCAAGCAGAAAGAAUAACUUUGAGGUGGUUUCGUACCCUACCAUAAGCUCUUCGUCUGUUCUCUGCUAUUAGUGACUUUGGAGUGACUCUUUGUUGCAUGUUGAGGGAUAGUUAUAUGAUCUAGUUAUGUUAUUAUUGUUGAGAGAACUUGCACUAGUGAAAGUAUGAACCUUAGGCCUUGUUUCCUAGCAUUGCAAUAUCGUUUGUGCUCACUUUUAUCAUUAGUUACCUUGCUGUUUUUAUAUUUUCAGAUUACAAAAACCUAUAUCUAUUAUCCAUAUUGCACUUGUAUCACCAUCUCCUCGUCGAACUAGUGCACCUAUACAAUUUACCAUUGCAUUGGGUGUGUUGGGGACACAAGAGACUCUUUGUUAUUUUGUUGCAGGGUUGCUUGAGAGAGACCAUCUUCAUCCUAUGCCUCUCACGGAUUGAUAAACCUUAGGUCAUCCACUUGAGGGAAAUUUGCUACUGUCCUACAAACCUCUGCACUUGGAGGCCCAACAACGUCUACAAGGAGAAGGUUGCGUAGUAGACAUCACCAUCCCUCAUCCAAAGCAGCCACAGAAACAAGGAUAGCAGAAGAUGGACGUCGGGGGCCUGCCAGGUGGCCCAGGAGGCAGGGGCGCACCCUCCACCCUCGUGGCUGGUGGGUGGCCCGCCUUUUGUGCUUUCUUCGCCCAAUAUUUUUAGUAUAUUCCAAAACUGACUUUCGUGGAGUUUCAGGACUUUUGGAGUUGUGCAGAAUAGGUCUCUAAUAUUUGCUCCUUUUCCAGCCCAGAAUUCCAGCUGUCGGCAUUCUCCCUCUUCGUGUAAACCUUAUAAAAUAAGAGAGAAAAGGCAUAAGUAUUGUGACAUAAUGUGUAGUAGAAGCCCAUAAUGCAAUAAAUAUUUAUACAAAAGCAUGAUGCAAAAUGGACGUAUCAACUCCCCCAAGCUUAGACCUCGCUUGUCCUCAAGCGAAAGCCGAUAUCGAAAAAUAUGUCCACAUGUUUAGAGAUAGAGGUGUCGAUAAAAUAAAAUACGGACAUGAGGGCAUCAUGAUCAUUCUUAGAAUAGCAACAUAUAUUUUGUCAUAUGAUUUCUUAUUCUAAACUAACAAUCUAUUAAAUCGAAACAGACUUUCGCCCCGCUUUAUAGAUAAAGCAGACGCCCAAACCAAGUCUCAACCAAAGUCAUAAAAGAGAAAAGCUGGGGCCACACACAAAGAUGCCCAAAUGAAAGAAACAUAAACGACAAAGGCCACCAGGGGAAAGCUAUGAAGUAGGUGGGCGGUCGGAGAGCCGACACGCGGUAGACACCAGGGUGUCCAGCAAGAGCUGAAGACAAUCACGAUCCCUCGGCCUAGCGAGCGGAUGCCAGUACUACAAGAAGGCAAGAAAUCUGAAGAACGAGUCAGAAGGACAAAAUGUGCGUUCCCGUUUCAAGGAAAUGGCACAAAGGGCAAAGGCCAUUGCCCGGACCAUCGCAUUUCAACACCUCAGUCCUAGAAGGGAGAUGAUCUUGUAGAAGCUACCAUACAAAGAUCUUAAUCUUCAAGGGCAUCAGUGGCUUCCACAGUGGGGAUAGCCACUAUAGAACCGGCACAUGACAUAAUGCCCAGUAGGACGAACUAACGGAGAAUUCACCUGAAGGAGAAAGGCUCCAAGAAACAGUGUCAGGGUCCUGGGACAGAGGAUGAGGGACUACUUCCCAUAGGUCUGUCCAUUCCCGUACCUCACCUGGUCCGAAUGAGCGGCGAAACGCAAUGUUCCAUCUGAUACGUCUCCAACGUAUCUAUAAUUUAUGAAGCAUUCAUGCUAUUAUAUUAUCUGUUUUGGAUGUUUAUGGGCUUUACUAAGCACUUUUAUAUUAUUUUUGGGACUAACCUAUUAACCGGAGGCCCAUCCCAGAUUGUUGUUUUCUUGCCUAUUUUAGUGUUUCGAAGAAAAGGAAUAUCAAACGGAGUCCAAACAGAAUGAAACAUCCGGAAGCGUGAUUUUUGGAACGAACGUGAUCCAGGAGACGUGGAGCUGAAGUCAGGGAAGCUUCAAGGAGGCCACGAGGCAGGGGGGCGCGCCCACCCCCCUGGGCGCGCCCUCCACCCUCGUGGGCCCAUCGAGGCUCCCCCGACCGACUUCUUUCGCCUAUAUAAGUCCAUAUACCCUAAAACCUUCGGGGAACACAAUAGAUCGGGAGUUCCGCCGCCGCAAGCCUCUGUAGCCACCAAAAACCUCUUGGGAGCCCGUUCCGGCACCCUGCCGGAGGGGGAAUCCAUCACCGGUGGCCAUCUUCAUCAUGCCGACGCUCUCCAUGAUGAGGAGGGAGUAGUUCACCCUCGGGGCUAAGGGUAUGUACCAGUAGCUAUGUGUUUGAUGUCUGUCUCUCUCGUGUUCUUGAGGUGAUACGAUCUUGAUGUAUCACGAGCUUUGUUGUUAUAGUUGGAUCUUAUGAUGUUUCUCCCCCUCUACUCUCUUGUAAUGGAUUGAGUUUUCCCUUUGAAGUUAUCUUAUCGGAUUGAGUCUUUAAGGAUUUGAGAACACUUGAUGUAUGUCUUGCCGUGCUUAUCUGUGGUGACAAUGGGAUAUUCACGUGAUCUACUUGAUGUAUGUUUUGGUGAUCAACUUGUGGGUUCAAUGAACUUAUGCAUAGGGGUUGGCACACGUUUUCGUCUUGACUCUCCGGUAGAAACUUUGGGGCACUCUUUGAAGUACUUUGUGUUCGUUGAACAGAUGAAUCUGAGAUUGUGUGAUGCAUAUCGUAUAAUCAUGCCCACGGAUACUUGAGGUGACAAUGGAGUAUCUAGGUGACACUAGGGUUUUGGUUGAUUUGUGUCUUAAGGUGUUAUUCUAGUAUGAACUCUAUGAUAGAUUGAACGGAAAGAAUAGCUUCAUGUUAUUCUUCUACGGACUCUUGAAUAGAUCGAGCAGAAAGAAUAACUUUGAGGUGGUUUCGUACCCUACCAUAAGCUCUUCGUCUGUUCUCUGCUAUUAGUGACUUUGGAGUGACUCUUUGUUGCAUGUUGAGGGAUAGUUAUAUGAUCUAGUUAUGUUAUUAUUGUUGAGAGAACUUGCACUAGUGAAAGUAUGAACCUUAGGCCUUGUUUCCUAGCAUUGCAAUACCGUUUGUGCUCACUUUUAUCAUUAGUUACCUUGCUGUUUUUAUAUUUUGAGAUUACAAAAACCUAUAUCUAUUAUCCAUAUUGCACUUGUAUCACCAUCUCCUCGCCGAACUAGUGCACCUAUACAAUUUACCAUUGCAUUGGGUGUGUUGGGGACACAAGAGACUCUUUGUUAUUUUGUUGCAGGGUUGCUUGAGAGAGACCAUCUUCAUCCUAUGCCUCUCACGGAUUGAUAAACCUUAGGUCAUCCACUUGAGGGAAAUUUGCUACUGUCCUACAAACCUCUGCACUUGGAGGCCCAACAACGUCUACAAGGAGAAGGUUGCGUAGUAGACAUCACCAUCCCUCAUCCAAAGCAGCCACAGAAACAAGGAUAGCAGAAGAUGGACGUCGGGGGACUGCCAGGUGGCCCAGGAGGCAGGGGCGCACCCUCCACCCUCGUGGCUGGUGGGUGGCCCGCCUUUUGUGCUUUCUUCGCCCAAUAUUUUUAGUAUAUUCCAAAACUGACUUUCGUGGAGUUUCAGGACUUUUGGAGUUGUGCAGAAUAGGUCUCUAAUAUUUGCUCCUUUUCCAGCCCAGCAUUCCAGCUGUCGGCAUUCUCCCUCUUCGUGUAAACCUUAUAAAAUAAGAGAGAAAAGGCAUAAGUAUUGUGACAUAAUGUGUAGUAGAAGCCCAUAAUGCAAUAAAUAUUUAUACAAAAGCAUGAUGCAAAAUGGACGUAUCAACUCCCCCAAGCUUAGACCUCGCUUGUCCUCAAGCGAAAGCCGAUAUCGAAAAAUAUGUCCACAUGUUUAGAGAUAGAGGUGUCGAUAAAAGAAAAUACGGACAUGAGGGCAUCAUGAUCAUUCUUAGAAUAGCAACAUAUAUUUUGUCAUAUGAUUUCUUAUGCUAAACUAACAAUCUAUUAAAUCGAAACAGACUUUCGCCCCGCUUUAUAGAUAAAGCAGACGCCCAAACCACGUCUCAACCAAAGUCAUAAAAGAGAAAAGCUGGGGCCACACACAAAGAUGCCCAAAUGAAAGAAACAUAAACGACAAAGGCCACCCGGGGAAAGCUAUGAAGUAGGUGGCCGGUCGGAGAGCCGACACGCGGUAGACACCAGGGUGUCCAGCAAGAGCUGAAGACGAUCACGAUCCCUCGGCCUAGCGAGCGGAUGCCAGUACUACAAGAAGGCAAGAAAUCUGAAGAACGAGUCAGAAGGACGACACGGGAACACCCGCUCAAUCACCAUCUUGUUGCGAGUAGUCCAAAGAGUCCACAUCAUAGCCGCGAAGAUGAGCCAGAACAGUCGGCGCUUAUGGCCAACCUGGGUGGCCCUUACCUGCAGAAACUCUGCAAGGUCAUGGGCCUCCCACUCUGGUCCUAGAGCCUCAUGAACAAAGCACCAAAGUGCCUACGCUGCUACGCAAGAAAACAAAAUGUGCGUUCCCGUUUCAAGGAAAUGGCACAAAGGGCAAAGGCCAUUGCCCGGACCAUGGCAUUUCAACACCUCAGUCCUAGAAGGGAGAUGAUCUUGUAGAAGCUACCAUACGAAGAUCUUAAUCUUCAAGGGCAUCAGUGGCUUCCACAGUGGGGAUAGCCACUAUAGAACCGGCACACGACAUAAUGCCCAGUAGGACGAACUAACAGAGAAUUCACCUGAAGGAGAAAGGCUCCAAGAAACAGUGUCAGGGUCCUGGGACAGAGGAUGAGGGACUACUUCCCACAGGUCUGUCCAUUCCCGUACCUCACCUGGUCCGAAUGAGCGGCGAAACGCAAUGUUCCAUCUGAUACGUCUCCAACGUAUCUAUAAUUUAUGAAGCAUUCAUGCUAUUAUAUUAUCUGUUUUGGAUGUUUAUGGGCUUUACUAAGCACUUUUAUAUUAUUUUUGGGACUAACCUAUUAACCGGAGGCCCAUCCCAGAUUGUUGUUUUCUUGCCUAUUUUAGUGUUUCGAAGAAAAGGAAUAUCAAACGGAGUCCAAACAGAAUGAAACAUCCGGAAGCGUGAUUUUUGGAACGAACGUGAUCCAGGAGACGUGGAGCUGAAGUCAGGGAAGCUUCAAGGAGGCCACGAGGCAGGGGGGCGCGCCCACCCCCCUGGGCGCGCCCUCCACCCUCGUGGGCCCAUCGAGGCUCCCCCGACCGACUUCUUUCGCCUAUAUAAGUCCAUAUACCCUAAAACCUUCGGGGAACACAAUAGAUCGGGAGUUCCGCCGCCACAAGCCUCUGUAGCCACCAAAAACCUCUUGGGAGCCCGUUCCAGCACCCUGCCGGAGGGGGAAUCCAUCACCGGUGGCCAUCUUCAUCAUGCCGACGCUCUCCAUGAUGAGGAGGGAGUAGUUCACCCUCGGGGCUGAGGGUAUGUACCAGUAGCUAUGUGUUUGAUGUCUGUCUCUCUCGUGUUCUUGAGGUGAUACGAUCUUGAUGUAUCACGAGCUUUGUUGUUAUAGUUGGAUCUUAUGAUGUUUCUCCCCCUCUGCUCUCUUGUAAUGGAUUGAUUUUUCCCUUUGAAGUUAUCUUAUCGGAUUGAGUCUUUAAGGAUUUGAGAACACUUGAUGUAUGUCUUGCCGUGCUUAUCUGUGGUGACAAUGGGAUAUUCACGUGAUCUACUUGAUGUAUGUUUUGGUGAUCAACUUGUGGGUUCAAUGAACUUAUGCAUAGGGGUUGGCACACGUUUUCGUCUUGACUCUCCGGUAGAAACUUUGGGGCACUCUUUGAAGUAGUUUGUGUUGGUUGAAUAGAUGAAUCUGAGAUUGUGUGAUGCAUAUCGUAUAAUCAUGCCCACUGAUACUUGAGGUGACAAUGGAGUAUCUUGGUAACAUUAGGGUUUUGGUUGAUUUGUGUCUUAAGGUGUUAUUCUAGUAUGAACUCUAUGAUAGAUUGAACGGAAAGAAUAGCUUCAUGUUAUUCUUCUACGGACUCUUGAAUAGAUCGAGCAGAAUGAAUAACUUUGCGGUGGUUUCGUACCCUACCAUAAUCUCUUCGUCUGUUCUCCGCUAUUAGUGACUUUGGAGUGACUCUUUGUUGCAUGUUGAGGGAUAGUUAUAUGAUCUAGUUAUGUUAUUAUUGUUGAGAGAACUUGCACUGGUGAAAGUAUGAACCUUAGGCCUUGUUUUCUAGCAUUGCAAUACCGUUUGUGCUCACUUUUAUCAUUAGUUACCUUGCUGUUUUUAUAUUUUCAGAUUACAAAAACCUAUAUCUAUUAUCCAUAUUGCACUUGUAUCACCAUCUCCUCGCCGAACUAGUGCACCUAUACAAUUUACCAUUGCAUUGGGUGUGUUGGGGACACAAGAGACUCUUUGUUAUUUCAUUGCAGGGUUGCUUGAGAGAGACCAUCUUCAUCCUACGCCUCUCACGGAUUGAUAAACCUUAGGUCAUCCACUUGAGGGAAAUUUGCUACUGUCCUACAAACCUCUGCACUUGGAGGCCCAACAACGUCUACAAGGAUAAGGUUGCGUAGUAGACAUCACCAUCCGUCAUCCAAAGCAGCCACAGAAACAAGGAUGGCUGGGUCAUCACAAAUCGCAAAGAGCCUCGGGAACGCAAGCGGUGAGGCUCGCCCUCCAUCCAGGGGUCCAACCAAAGCUGGGUCCCAGCCCCAUUGCCAACCUAGAAAUGCAAACCCAGCCUAAUCUCUUCCUUGAUGGCCUGAAUAGAUUUCCAGAACUGGGACCUAGCUGAGUGAGAGCAAGCCAGGAGGGGUUGUCCCUGCAAGUACUUGGACUCAAUCAGCUGCAGCCAGAAACCUCCAUCUCCCCGCAAGAUCCGCCAAACCCAACGCAGCAUAAGUGCAUCGUUCAUCCGGCGAGACGCAGGGAUGCCCAACCAACCUCGGUCCUUUGGCAAGCAUAUGUCAGCCCACUUCACCAUAUGGUACUUGGGCCGACCAUCCCCUGCCUGCCAGAAGAACCUAGCCAGCUCCUUGUCAAAGGAUCUAUGUACACCUUCGGGCAGGAUGUACAUCCCCAUCAUAUACAUGGGGAGACUGGCAAGGUUAGAGCUAAUGAGGACAAUUUUGCUUCCUUUAGAAGUGAACCUACCGCACCAGGGCUCCGCACGGGACACUACUCGUCUCGCAAGCAGAUCAUACCCACUCACCAAAAUCCUGGACUCAUCCAGGGCAUCCCCAAGUAGGAUAUGGGGAAUGACACCAACCUACAGUUGAGGUUAUCCGCGAUCCAAAGUUUCUCAGCCUCUGAGUAGCCAAGGACCACCACCUCGCUCUUAUCAGAUUUAAUCUUAAGUCCAGACAUUUCCUCAAAGCAGAGCAGGAGGAACUUAAGAUUGACAAUGUCCGAAUCCAAGCCUUCCACCAUAAUCAUGGUGUCAUCCGCAUACUGCAAGUGAGUAACCCCCCCCAUCCGGGAUGAGGUGACUAACUACACCCUUAAGGUGGCCUGCUAACUUGGCCUUAUCUAGGAUGCCCGCAAGGGCAUCAACUGCGAGGUUGAAAAGCACGGGGGGACAAGGUCCCCUUGCUUUACCCCUCUGGAAGGCUGGAAAAAGGGUCCCACUUCGCCAUUGAUGUUAAUCGCCGUGUUACUAGUUCUAACCAAUUGCAUGAUCCAGGAAUGCCACCUCUCAUCAAAACCUCAUCUCUGCAUUACCAACCUCAAAAAGGACCAGUCCAGACGAUCGUAUGCCUUUUGGAAGUCCAAUUGAGGAAGACCCCCUUAAGCCCCUUCGACGCCACCUCGUGGAUGAUCUCGUGAAGGACAAUAAUCCCGUCAUGGAUCCGCCUGCCCUUCAAGAACGUGGACUGAAGGGGGUGGGCAAUCCUUUCCACCACGGGGGAUAAACAGGUUGUGCAAACCUUCACAAAGAUUCGCUCCAGCACGUUGAUCACCGUGAUGGGGCGGAACUGCCGAAUAUCCGUAGCCCCAACUACUUUGGGGAUCAGAGAUAUGACACCAUAGUUAAUCCUAGCCAUGUCCAGGGUUCCAAUAUAGAACUCAUGGAACAUGGGCAUAAUGACCGGACGUAGGAUCUCCCAGAAUUUCUGGAAGAAAACUACUGGGAGGCCAUCCAGCCCCAGAGCCGAGCAAGAUUUCAUAGAAGCAAUCGCCUGACCCACCUCCUCAGGAGAGAAUGGGAGAGUAAGUUCCACAUUCUCUGCAUCAGAGACCUGGUCUGCAAGCGGCGUGAAAUCAGCGCAGAGGGAGACAUCUCCACGCGGAUCAGCCGAGAACAACUCGUUAUAAAAGGAGUAUAUAUGGGUGGAGAUGUCAACUGGGUUCUCCAGAAGGCCAUCCCCAUCCCAGAGGAAGGGGAUGGUACAUUUCCUCCUACGGCCAUUAGCAAUUGCCUGAAAGUACACAGUGUUCGCAUCCCACUUAAGGAGCUAGUUCUGCCCCCCUCGACGCUGCCAGAACAGCUCCUUGCUCUUGUAGAUGUCCAUGAGCGAGGCCUCGAGGGAGUAUCUCCUAAGCCAAUCGUCAAGAGACAGGCCCUGCUCAUCUGCAAGGCCAUCCAACACCUUAAUCUGAUCGAGCAGGGCCCCUUUACGGGCCCGGAUGUCAGCGCCAAGGUUCACCCCCUAGCCCUUCAUGGCCCGGCGAGCCAAUUUAGCACAGUGGUGCCAGACAUCCACAACACAGAACACACGAGGCCGCCUCUAGCCAGCGGUCACAAACCAACUCAAGGAAACCUGGUUGCUCUGGCCAAAACAUCUCAAAGCGGAAGCGACGGGUCCUAGAGGGGCCUCAUCCCCCGAUGGGAAAAGCAGGGGGUAUGGUCGGAGCCAGUACGAGUGACCACUUUGAGUGAGCACAAUGGGAACACCACUUCCCGCUGGGCCGACACAAAGACCCGAUCUAAGACACUCCGGAUGGGGUCCGACUGCUUAUUCGUCCAAGUGAACCUAGCCCCUACGCGGGCUAUCUCACGAAGCACAAGGUCCACAAUGCAGUCAUUGAAUAGACGCAUGCGAACCCGAUCAACAUUAGGCGAGCUUUUAUAAGAAGCCCACCUAAUGAGGUUGAAGUCCUCGGCCACCACUACCGGAGUGGUGCACCUCCCCACCUUAUCUUUCAGCUCGGCAAGGAAGGCGGCUGAGCGCCAUUGUGGCACCUCGACUCAGAGAAAACCGGAACGCCCCGUAUUCCAGCCCAGAGAUCGAGAAGAAGUCUUCUGGAAUACGGCACUGCUUAGCAUAGAACAAACCAGCCUUCUAUUAUUACAUGAAUAUGAUUACAAGGUCUUCGAUAUUAAAAUGAAUAACAUCGGUACGACGACACUACGCCAUCCUCAGUUGCUCUAUGCAAGCAGCAGAAACAACUCGAAGCAGCAGAAUAGCUCUAGUAGCGGAACAACAGCGACAGUGGUGAACUCCACUCUGCAGGGACUCUGGCUGGAACACUUAUCCUAGCUCGCACGAACGGAAACCAUGACAAGCAAGCAAUCAAAUCCGGCAUGACCUACAAACUAGCAUGACACGCCAGGUCAAUACAAUGAAUGUACUUGCAAGCUCACAAAUAACCAGAAGCAUUCAAGACAGACCACAUCAUGGCAAUUAUAGGUUAAACCGGAAUUAUCAUGAUAUCAUCAGAACAAUAUAACAUGGCAUGACCAAUAUAAACAUGAUACAACUAUCACAACAUGAACAUAUUAAUCCGACAAUACUAGCAUGCAACAUGAUGACACUAUAUGCACCACUUAUUUUGCUCGGUUACCUCGUAACCAACACAUGCAUCACUUACCGACCUCGGACAUCACACGAUCAUCUUAGGAUCAAAUCAAGCUUGGUAUAAACAAUACCGUAGCGAUCAUUAAAUAACCACAAGGAGCUUUAUCCUUACCCACGACUCUCGUACAACAUCACGAAUAUACAACAACUCGGUAUCCUCGAUACCAUUGUGAUCCUUACGGCGAUCACCACCCGACCAACACUUGGUUCCAAACCGUGAUCCUUAUGGUGAUCACAACCCGACCAAUACCUGGCCCGUGAUCCCUACGGCGAUCACAACCUGACCAACACUUGGCCCGUGAUCCUUACGGCGAUCACCACCAACUUAUCUCACUGUUAUUAAGCACAUUAUUAUUAUUAUUACUAUUGACUCAUGGUGUGACCUACUUUUCGACCUGGGCCCUUAUCCGCGGGAGCGGCUAUCGAUAGAUUAAUAUACACUCUGCAGAGGUUAGUACACUGUACCCACACCACGGAGCCCAUGGCCUCACUCUCCCAUUCGGGUGGACCAACGGCGUUCCGACAAAACUGAUCUAUUGUCAUGACACUCUCCCAGCCCUUCCGACUCAGACCCCACUGGGCUAGUCCUGGGUGGCCUCCUGUCUACCUCUAGACAGCUCGACCACCGUCAUGGCCACGAUCCACACUGGGAUCCGGUACCAAAAUUAACUUAACAACGGGCUCACAAGGUUAUGCUCCACCUACCUGAUCAGGGUAGCACACGCCCAUAACCUUCCCUAAAUUGAGGUACCGACCAGAGGCACGACAAUAGACCCAGUUAGGACCAUCCCAUACCGGUAAGCGUGGUUGCACUGUUCAGCAUCGAUUUAGCGGCACCAUGACUCGGCCAACAGAUGUUCAAGUUCAAUUUAAUCCGGUUAAACUUGAGUGAAAAUAUGCUGAGCUAUGAUAAAAUAACAUGAUGCCAACCAUAAUACAUGAACAUGAUAUCAACAUCACCAUGAGAGUAUCACAUAACUUUCCACCAUAUCAACAAAUCAUAUCCACUGAGCAUCGCAUACUGACUAGCAUGACCAUCUCCAACAUCAACAUGUACUACUAACCAGCAUAAACAUAUGAAAGAUAAUACUAGUAGGUAUAACAUGAUCACAGAGUACAAAACAUCAUAGCAUAAUAGUGAACAUGCAAAUCUGAACAUCACCGAAACAAUGAUAACCAUCUUUUCAACAAACAAACAUUUAAUAAAGAUUCAAGUUGAAAACCAUGGCUACUGCAUGACUAUCAUGCAAGUGGGUAUUGUGGCUUUCCUGGGGAUGAAGGAAGCACCGGGGAGAAGUGCGGUGAAGCCGUGGAAAGAUUCGCCGGAAAACGUUCUCUCUCGGAGGGGGCUGAAUAAGGGCAAGGGCAUAAAGGCCAUUUUCACAAUGUCAAACCAUAGUGAAAACAUGACCAACAGAAUGGGCUCGACGAAACGAAGAAGUGAGCGUUGGUUUCACCUCAAACGGAGUUACGGUAAAAAGAUAUGGAAGUUUUUCUGCGAGGGACCCAUCUGUAAUGAAAAUGAUUUCAACCAGGGGCCUAAACAGAAAAAGUGAAAGCAUAAUCGGUGAAAAUACGCUUUCACCUUAUCCAAAGGAACAGUGGUGGGGCUGACGCGUGCGGGUCCCACGGGUGGGGCCCGUCACCUGGCGCUGACUGGGUCAGCGCCCACCCGCCGACAGGUGGGGCCGAGGGGCCCACGCGCUAGUCAACGCCCACCUCCUGCUCUCCUUCUUCUUCCCCGACGGGAACAGGGGAGAGGCGAGGCAGAGGCGCGGCCGGCGCUGGCCCGGCUGGCUCCGGCCAUCACCAGCCAGGGCGAAGCCACCGGCGGGCGCGUCCCGGCGCGGCGCUUCCAUCCCCGACCAGAGGGAGGCGCGGGGAGGCGAAGAACAGCGAAGGGAGGCAGCGGCAGGAGGUGACAGAGGUGGAGGCCAACCUUGGGAAUGGCGGCCUGAAGCACUCCGAUGAUGAAUGGAGGGGACGGGAAGGGUCGCCGGAUCACGGGGAAGACGAUGGUGGUGGCUAGGAGAGGAGGGGGAUUCGGGCCUGCUCGAAUUUGAGAUGUCCGAGGCGGCAGCUAUGGCGGCAUAGGGAGGUGAGGAGAGCAGCUUCGGCUCGGGGAAGAAAUGGGCCGGGCUAGAGGAGAGCGGGGAGGCCGCUGGUGAGCUCGGGAGGGCUCGAGGAUGGCUUAAAUAGCCGCGGGAAAGGAAGGCCGAGCUGGCACUGCCGACGACGCGUGUCCGGCGCCGCGGACGCAUGUGCUCGUUCAUGGACUCGGGGCAAACAAUGGAGAGGGCACAUGGGAGAGCUAUCAUGGGGCAGAGGAGGCCAAGGGGCACAGGGAAGACGACGACGACGAAUGGAUCCAGAACUCCACUGUGCUCUCGUGUUCAUGCGGCGGCGAGCGUUGGUGAGCUAGCUUCCGGAAAGGGAGAGGGGUCCAAGAGAACAACGAUGACACGGAGAACACGCUAGACAUGAUCAUGGGCUCUAAGACAACGAGAGGAGGAGAGGAUCCAGCACAAACCGUGCUUUGGACACGGCCACUGCACGCAGAGCGCGCCAACAGGCAUGCCAGCUGCGUGGUCACCACGAGACAUGGCACAUUAAAUGCUGUACAUCACCCAAAACGGUGUCUAGUGGUAAGUCCUUCGAAGAUGGGUUUGGAAUGAGGUGGUAACUAGGUUAAAGGCACUCUGGUUAAAAAGUUAGUGAGCUCUGAAGUUUACUGCAGUAAACUUGACCAGCUCAAUGUGAUCAACAGGGAUUUGCUUGAAGCCAAAGAAGUUGUCCGGGGUGUUAAGCUAUGGAGGGACUAUGAUCCUGGAGGUUGGGAGGGUAAAAGGAUCAAGAUUUACAGCAGUUGCUUCACAACUGCAUACUUGGUCCAGAAAUGAAGAUCAGCAAGAUGCACUCACAUGGAGUGUCCACUUGAGCUCAAAUUGGUCAAAGUUUAGUCAUUAGGUCAUAUGAUGAUGAUGUAAAAAUCUCAUGCCAAAUGGACAAACAAAAAUAGCACUUGCUUCACAGACAUCUCUACUUACCAGAAACUUGGAAUAAUUAUGGUGGUCAAAUGGCUCAAUGAAAUGAUGCCAAAUUGGGUGGAGAGAUGUUUUAUGGGUAUAAGAAUGAUCUGGUAAUUUAUCAGGAUUUUUGAAGCAAUAUAAAAUAUACUUGCUUCACAACCUGAAAAUAUUGCCAGAAACAAAGAUUUGCUCCUGUUCUCACAUAGAUGAUUGGAUGGGGCUGAAAAUGGGUGGAGGGGGUUAAUAUGAGCACAUUAAGGAGUGUGCAAAAGUUCAACUCAUUUGGGUACUCCUAGCUAGUACUUCCUUCACAAAGCCUUCUGUUUGACAGAAACUUUGAAAAUUCACUGAGGAAGAUUGGAUAGGCAAAUAAAUUUGAACUUAUGCAUGGGGCAAUUAUUUAGACAUAUAAACAUGCCCAAAAAGUUUGGGAGUAAAUAGGAUAAAUAUAAAUGACACUUCCUUCACAAAGUGCCAUUCAGGGCAGAAUAGGAAAUGAAUUAUUGGAGGAUUAUUUUUGAACAUGGCAAUGAAAAGUUUUGCCAUAUUUGAUCAAGAUAUGACCCAAAAAAUUUAUGAGAAUUAUUUGGGAAUUUUAGGAGUGAGGGAAAUAUAGGUUGCUUCACAACCUAGGGCAAUUGGAGUUAUUCCUAAAAGGAAUAUUACCAAUAAAAAGAAUAUUGGGAUUUGGGCUAGGAUGGAAAUGGAAAGGUCUAGGGUUGGAUUUGGGAAUGACAAGCCACUCUAGAAGCAAAGAAGAGGCCAUCUUCUUUAGUUUCCAGACCACAAAGCCACGGAAAAAGAAAACUCAGGCAAAAACCUCAGAAAAACAAAAGAAAAAGAAAGGGCCAAAAAUCAGGCUGUGACACCCAUGGUCGGCAGGACGAUAUACAAAAAUCACCUCCCAACUGAAGUGGACUCAUCGGUCGGUGAUGGACAUGCUCAGGAAGAAUUCCCCUCGGUCCAUAUCCUUAAACCGAUAAAGCAUCCUCCCUGACUCCGAGCAAAAUGCCCCCAGAUUGACCCGUAGCAGGCAACCACUGCCAGGCAAACUGGUGGCGAGAGAGCCCUUGGAGCUCAUGCAUACUAAAGUCCUGGCGAAUCAUCUCCUGAAGACCCAAUUUGUCUAUCUCCUCUUAUUGCAAAUAUUCGAUGAGCUGGCGCCGCCGGCCAGAGAGGCCGAAGCCCCUAAUGUUCCAACAUAGGAGCUUCAUUUAGUAACCUCAGUGGAAUCCCUAGGCCCCGCAAGAGGGUCCGAGCUAGCCCGCCCGUCAAUCGCGGGUCGAGGGGAUGCCUUCGUCGGGCGGCCACAAUGUCCCCGCGUAGGAGGGGCAGCGGAUGCCUCCGGUCCGAGGGAAGCGGACCUAGAACUGGACCCACAAACAUCUAUUCGGUGUUCAGUGGGGUUGACACAUGUGGGGGGACGCCCACGUGACGCCCUCACCAGGGGGGGGGGCUGCCAGUGGCGUCUCCAACACAUACUCCACAGGGGGCGCCACACCCUCCCUGG
rnacentral:lncRNA from 1 species